UGUGGCAGGUAUGCUUCUAAAAUCAUUCGAUUUCAGAUUUAGUUCUUUCAGUGAUGAUAAACGACAAAUGUCACUGGGAAUUCCUCCUUCCAUUAUAUUGCAGUAACUUAGGUCCAAUACUUCCAAUGAUGAUAGGCAACAAACAUCAGUAGGGAUUUUGUUGAGUUUUGAACACCCUCUGAAACUGAGAAUUUUGAGAGCUUUUAGAUGUCCAAACGAUGAUGAUGAUGGUAGCUCUUCUAUAGCCGUACCACUUAAAUCGAGCUCUCUUAGCUUUCUCAUAUUGCCCUUGAUUUCUGGAAAUCUCUUUAGCUUUGAACAGUCUCCGCAAGACAAAGUUUGAAGGUGUUUCCAUUUAUAAAUGCCUCUUGGAAGACACUCCAGCUUUACACAGCCUGUCCAAUUCAAGGGAGGAAAAAAACAAAUUAGUUUUAAUAACUCUUAUACUGAUGCAUGAACCUUUUUAAGUACCAUUGAAUAACCUUUUAGAGUUAGAAUCUCCAAGUUUGGCACACUUGAGAAGUCCGGGAUUUCAGUGAGAUGCACUGAAUGACUGAGAUUGAUAACGUUCAACUUGUUAUGAAGCUGGAAAAAAAAAAAAAAACCUAUUGAUAAUUUUACAUAAACAUUAAAAAUUAAUAUAAAAAAAAGUGUAACUAAAUGAUAAUAACAAUACCUUGUUCCCUCUCCAAAGUUGCUUUAUAUUGCUGCCCCUUAAUAUGAGUUCAACAAGGUCCUUUGCAUGAAAAUUUGUUGGCAAAGAUUCUAAAGAGUAUCCAUCCCAAUGGAAAUAAGUUAACUCAUAAGAAGGAAACUCAAAGUCCCUUGGAAGGUGGUCUUCAGAAAAUAGCUUUCCAUCAAGAUGCCUACUAAAUCUUGAUAUGCAACCAUAUUCAUCAUCUUUAUGGAUUUUGAGCAAUCUAAGUCUAUCCAUCUGUUUGAAAGAUUCUUUAGUAAACUGUGUUGGAAAUUUACAAAUAUCUAGGAAUAGUCCUUUGAUCGAUCGUGUCCCCUGAAAAAUAUAAAUCAAGAAUAAGCGAAACACAAGAUGCAUAAAACUUAACUAAAUUAUAUAGAUGGUUAAUUUCUAAAACAAUAACAAUAAUAUUGAAGUUUGCAUAUGCACAAUAACCUAAGUUCUUGCAUUUGGCACUUACCAUGUUUCUUGUCAGCACAUCAUACGCAUCAGAAUCCCAUAUUCUACUCCUUCUUCCAAGAUCAUCAAGACAUUCUUGACGAAUAAUUUCUUUGCCCAUUUGUUGUAUUAAAUCAUGCAUAUCCAUCAUGUUUUUUGAAAUGGUAAUGAGACAUUUGUCAUUUAGAGUUGCUAUCCCAUACUCAGCAUGAGGGCCUAAUAUUCUUGAAACAAAAUCUUUGCUCUUCCCCUUGAAAAAACAAGCAACAUCCAAAAAUAUCUCCUUAUCCAUAUCAUCAAGUCCAUCAAAACUUAUUCUAAGUACCUUGUUAAUUUCCAUGUGGGGUAUCCUUUUUAGCUUAUAUAAUGCACUUUCCCAUUCGCUUAUUUUCUUUCCAAAAAGAGAGGCACCUAAAAGUUUAAGUGCUAAUGGAAGUCCAUCAGCAUACUCUAUCAUAUUGUAUGAGAGGUUUUCAUAAGCUUCCUUGGGAAGAUUUUCUUGGAAGGCCCACAAACUAAAGAGCUCAAUUGCUUCUUUCUUAUCAAAUUUCUGAACCUCAUAUGGUGUAUCCACUCCAUAUCGAGUAAGCACUUGUUUGUCUCUAGAUGUGAUGAUGAUUGUACUUUUUGCAUUAAACCAAUCCUUCUUUUGAGCCAAAUGUUUUAAUUGCUUCAGAUCAUCUACAUCAUCCAAAAUAACAAGGACUCUUUUAGAGUUGAGGCACCUCUUUAUCAUAGUAACUCCUUCAUCGAUAUUGCUUAUUUUAAAACCCUUUUCUUUUAGGAUGUCAUGAAGAAGUUCAUUUUGUAAUUGAAGUGUAUCACCUUGGGAUUUCUCUCUAAUAUUUCUAAGAAAGCUACUGCUAUCAUAUUGAUAUGAGAUCUUAUUAUAAAUAGCCUCGGCGAUAGUAGUCUUACCAAUUCCACCAGGUCCACAUAUCCCAAUCACGCUAACCUUAUUCAACUCAGUAUUCAUCAUCAAUUUCAAUUUUUCUAAAUGAACACUAAUUCCAACUAUAUUCUCGCUCACAUUUAAAGGUUGACGUUUUAAACUUCCAACAAUUGUAUUAAUAAUUUCAUUGACAACUUCAGUCUCAAACCUGCCAAUUAUAAAGCAUAAUGAUGAGUUAGAAUGAGUUUGCAAAAUAUAAUAAAUGUAGAAUAAAUCGAGUCAUAUAUGGUGUUGUCCAAUACUUAAGCUUCCAAUUUUGCAUGUAUCAAACCACUAAUUAAUGUAAUCUGCUGACACUGAUUGGGGCAUUGUUUAGGAAAUUAGGACUCUUCUCGUGACUUUUUUCACCUUUUAUUUCACAAGUUGCUUAUCAACUUAUCAAUAUUGUUGAAAAGGAAUAUAAAUAUUCCUAGUUUGCUGAUUAAUUUUGCAUUUCCAUAGAGGAAUGAGUACUGAAAACUUUAAUGCUGGAUUGUAAGACUGAAGAGACUUUUAAGAAAAUGAUAUUUACUUUACAAAUUUGAUUUACAAUGAUAUUAUUUAAUUAUUCGAUGGCAUCUCACCUCAUGAUAUUAUAUAUAUCAUUUAAAUUUAAAGAAAAAUAUGAAUUGAGACCAUAAUAUAGUUUAAAUAAAAAGACUUAUUUUGUAGAUUAUUCAAAGUAUUCUCUAAAAAAUCAAACUUUAAAUUAAGAUAGAUAUUACAACUCAAGAUUCCAAAUCCAUAAAAUACUCUUCUACCAAAAUUGAUUAAUUUUAAGAUUUCAAGAAUGACUAAAACCAUUUUGCUCAAAUUACAAAAUCAUUCUUUUUCUUUAAAUUAAAAUUUUCUUUCUAUAAAUCAAAUUUAGAUUACAAAUUCACAUCUAAGUGUUCAUUUUCAAACCUAAAAUUUUUAAAAUAUUUUCUUUUAAAAGUUGAUUAUUUUUAAAAACUUUAAAUAAGAAAAGAUUAAUUUUCAACUUCAACAUUGUAAUCUUGUAUUAAAGAAUAAAACUAAAGAUGUCUAUUUUUUCUCAUAAAUUCCCAUUAAUAGGCAUAUUUCCUAGAUAUACCGGAAUAGGUGAGAAAUUGUACCAAAAAAAGCCUUGAAUAUUUAAAACAUGCUUCAAAUUCAUCCAAUGAGAAGCCACUUUAACACCAAUAGCCAAAAGCCAAAAGAUAUUUAAAAUGGUGUUUUUGGCUGUUGAAUUUCAAAGAGAUGAACCCAAGGAAUCAGCAAAAUUUAGAAAGAGAAAAUAAAGCUAAAACCAUAGAAAUGUAUUGCUAAUAACUUUAGGCCCAGAUUUAGAACGAGAAAAAUAAUUAUAUAUUUUUUAUUUUUUUACACGAAAAAUUAAAGAAGGAAAAAAUCAUAUACAGUAGGAUAGGAUUUCUGAUUAGAGGAGAAGAGAAGCAUACUUACUGGUCAUCCACGUGCCAUCCAGAUAGACUUGCUGCUUCGGUUAAGGCAGUCCUCCACUUUUGUAUCAUCUCCUUCUUUUUCUCAUCAGCAUCUCUUUCAUGGUGGGCAAGCGCAUCUCCAAAAAUUCCCGACUGUUUCCGGAUAUCUGAUGGAUCUACAUGAUAGAAAAUUGGUAGAACCAUUGAUCCCUCUUGCCUCGCGCAUUCAGUGAUUUUUACAAGUUCAUUUAAACACCAUCUAGAGUAAGCAUAAUUUUUGGAGAAAAUAAUCAUAAAAAUCCUUGAUUCUUUUAUGGCUCUUGAGAGAUCAGAUGCAAUAAUUCCUCCUUUCUCUAGUUCUUCAUCAUCUCUGAAAGUUUGAAUUCCAUAUCUAACCAAAGUGGUAUAUAGAUAAUCCGUGAAAUUUUUGCGGGUGUCUACACCUCGAAAACUCAAAAACACAUCAUAAUUAGGAGAAAUAGAAGUAGAAGAAGAGGCUCCAUGGGUGCUGGAAGAAGCCAUUUUUGGGUUGCUUGUACCAAAAUUCCAAGGGAGUUUGGAAUCGAAGAAAAUAAGAGAGAGGAUCCUUAGAUGCUCAACCACUGUUGGCUCCAGGCUUCUUCACCAUGAACAGAACUCCAAGCUGGGAGGGGUGCAGCAGAAAACCUUCAUCUGCAGACCAAAAAAAAAAAAAACAUAUAUAAAGCCUCUUUGGCAAAUUUUCUUUGUUAUCCUGUGUACAAAAUUUGGUGGCCUAAGGCGGCAUGUUAUAAGAGGACUUCACACACAUAUUUUACCUUUUGGAAGAUAAACAUCAAGGAUCCAGCCAAACAGUUGUGGUCAGGUGCUGAUAGGUGUAGAGAAGAGAGUGGCGAAAGAUGGUAUGGAGGAUUGGCAGGGGGUUGAAGAAGAGGCAGUGGAAUUGUGAGGUAAGGAAUUCUAAUAUCUAGGGUUUAGCAUGAGUCUUCUUCAUUCUCAAUUAUACCCCAAGAUGGUGCUUAAAAAUCAACAAAGUUGAAGUCCUUGUUGUCAUUUUGCAUUUCAAUAAAGUUGAAAUCAAUUAUUGCUUUAGCAUUCUUAUUAAUUCAGUCUUGGUGGGAUCCCAUCUUACUUGUUUUCAAUACAACAAAAACAAGAAGAACGAAAACCAAUGCUAAAAAUAUAUUAAAUUAAUUGAUGAGGUAAGACAUGGCCUCAAAGAGGUUUGUUUUUUUAAUCAUUGUGGUUCUUUAUGGCUGUCACAUGUUUCCUUUUAUUUUCUCUCUCUCUCUCUCUCUCUCUUCGAUCGAUGCAAUAUUUUUUCUUUUAUAUCCUCAAUCUCCCUCAAGCUCAGUGGAAGGCAAUAGUUGGCACGCUUCGCUCUUCUACUUCCAAAAUCACUUUUCCUCCUAGCAUUUUACACUGAAGUUCAAUCAUCAAGAACUAGAACAAAAUUUAUGUUUGAUAAUAAAGAUGGUUGGAAAUUAUACUAUUGUUAGGACAUUAACUUUUAUUGUUGUAUCCAUCUUAGCUUAAAAUUUAAUUAUAAAAUUUUAAUUAUAUUUAAUUUUCUCUUAUAUUUUUUACAAUGAAACCAAACAUUAAGACCUUUUUUUUUUUAAUAUUUUUUUUAUUUUCAUAUAAUCAAAUAUAACCUAAAACUUUUCAAGUUCACAUGAUAAGUUAUUAAACUAUUAUUAAUAAAUAUUUGUAUAAUGACUUAUUAUAGAAACACUUUUAGGUAGGUAAUAGUUUCAUAGACAACGAUUAGUUAUACUUCUUAAAACUUAGUAGCUAAUUUUGUCUCAAAGUUCUGUACGACUAUUUACUUAAUUCUCUGUGGUCUUUUAAGCCUGUAAGAUGACACCACUUACGAAUAAAUCCAGAAAACAGAGUAGUGGUUUGUUUUAGAAUUUUCCUAGUUAGCUUGCUACUUGUCCUACUCACAUUGUUAUAUACUUUUGAUAAGAAUGUGCCUAGAGUUCGAUGUUCCAUGAAACCUGAGGAACUCCCGAGGAAAUCUUGUUAGCUUCUGUAUUGGUUUAUCUGUUUGGAAUUUGUGAUUUAUACCAGAAUCGAGACAUCUUCAGAAUAUGUUUGCUCCUAUGAAUAAAUUCAAGCAAUGCAUGGUUGACUCAUUAGCACUCUUUUGUUGCUGCAGAUUACAUGCUCCACUCUAGGCCAGUUGCUUGAUUCUGUUCUUGAACAGGAGGGUUUCCAGAUUGGUUCAGUAUGUGGAAAGAAAAAAAGGAAAGCAAUAAAGCUUCAUAAAUCUGACCUACACAAUGAUGUUAUUCGCAAAGAUGAAAAUGCAAUAUUUUCUUAGCUCUAUCCUUGAUAUUUUGCUACGAAAGAAAGACAGAGAAAACAACUCCUCCCAUGACCAUGCCAAGCAGCUCAUAGGUGAGUUCUAAAUCGAUACUUGUUCUCUUGUUAUUAUUUGUUUUUUCUUUUUAAUUUUCCGAUGUAGCAAUUGACAAAGGCCACAUGCAGCAGCAACUGCUUCCUCUGCCCCCAGGAGACCCUAUUUUACAACAACAAUCACACCAACCAACUACGACCCUGGUUACCCUUAUCUGGUCAGCUUUUGCCUUCUCUUUUCCAUCUCAGGGUUUAUUUUUCUGUUUAAAUCAUAUCAAAGAUGAUAUAUAUUCACUGAGACAUGGCCUAAUUAAUAUUUGAGUUGGGUGUGGCAGAAUAUCCCCAGAGAAUUUUGGAGAUCAAACGAUAUCAUAACUAAGGCAGCAUAAGCUCUCAGAGAUCCACUGAAUAGGUGGUGGCCAGUGAAACUUAGAUUACCAAGCGGGGGCAUCCGUUAAGCUGGGGAUGUGGUUGGCACGAGUACUAUGAAUCCAAUAAGCUCAAGGUAGGAGAUCCUCUACGUCUUUGAGCUCAAUCCCACCUCACCAGAAACUCCAAAUCCUGUUCUGGAUGUUUGGACCCUUCCUCCACAGAAGUAGAUACUGCUUAUAUUUUAGAUGGUUGAUUCUUCGUGAUUUUUGUUUUUGGUUAUGAAUGUUUUUCAAUUUGGAAAAAAUGUGGUGUUUGCUCGAGCAGAUUCUCUGAUCUAAUUUUAGUUUUUUGCAUUUAAUUAUUUAAUAUAUAAUUAUUGCAAUAUUUAUUUAAAUAUUUAAUUAUAUAUAUAUUAAACAAUAUAUUAAUUGGAAGAGAAAACCAAAUAAUAAUAAUAAUAGUAUACUUUUAAUAAUAUAUUAAACAAAUCAGAGGUGGGUGCACAAUUAACAUGGCUACUAUUGCAUCCAUUAUUAUGCUGUAGACCCCACAUCACACCUAUAGCAGUGGGCAAGGUCAGCUUGCAGUCACAUGGAGGCUUAUAAUUGUGGCCAGCAGUAUGUCGUCACAACUUGAUCCUUAUGGUUGCAGCAAUGAGCUGCCGCAACCAUACAAGUUUUAGUUGUAGAAAAAUGUGGUUGCAAGCAUAUAUUUAAGGUCGAGUCACACAACCACACUCGGCCUCAGCUACAUAAUUUCUUUGCGUCAGCUAUGGCCACGCCCUGUUGCGGCCUAUGUUGCACGCCCUGUAGCAUAUGGUUACAAUUUAAUUUGCUUUAAGUUGCGGGCCUUGGCUGUAGCUAAAGGUUUAAUUUCUUGUAGUGUUAUGUUAUCUUUAAAUGCUCAAGUCAAAAGAGUGAGGUAGAAAAGUAAUAUUUCACACUUUACAACGUAUUAACCAACAUUUUUUAAAAGUGAAAAGCCAGUUAGAUCUCUCAUUAUUUUAAUGUUAAUUGCAAUCCAAAAUUUCCUUUGGAUCUUUUUCUUCCUCUGAAAUUAAAUGGUUAGUAUGAAACUCCUUAAAAUAUUAUAUUGUUUAGAGUAUUCCACUGAAUAAUAUUCCUAGUUUAUAUUUUUUAUUUUUUUUGUUUUGUUUUUUUGUUUGUUUGUUUGGUUUUUUAUUAUUAUUAUUAUUAUAGAUUUUGUUUAAUUAUUGUUUUGGAAUUUUGAUUUUGGUGGUUUGAAGAUUGAUAGGUAUCAUAACCCACUUAUUAUAUUCUUUUAUAGAACUAUUACAAAUUAAUACUUUUAAUUUGAAUUGAGUUUUAUAUCUAUAUGGAAUUGCACAACUGGUCCUAAAGAUUGAUAGGCAUUGUGCUUUGUAAGGAUUGAAAAAUCAUUAUUGUGAACAAAUGAAAAUUGAAAUUGCAUAGCAUUGUGCUUAGCAAUGGCCAUACAUAGAGUUACCUUUGUAUUAUUAUUUGGUUCUUAAAUCUGAUAACUAAGUCUAAAAUGUGUUAGAUGUGCUAAAUUUGUGAUUUAUCACUAUGAGAAGUAUCAUAUAUACACUCUUUAGACAUAUAAAACUAGUUUAAACAUAUAAAUGCUUCUUAUAUCAGAUACUUAGAAUUUGGCUUUUACAUUAUAUAUGAAAUUUAUAUGCAUAUAAACUUGAAGAAUGAGAAAAUAUAAUAUAAAGAGGAAAACAAAUCACUUGAUCCCCAAGGCCAACAAAGCUGCACAAAUAUCCUCAGCUUCAUAACCCUCCUCUAUAAAGAUAAUGCUAGGGCUAUCUUGUGGGAUCAUGUCUUCCCUUUUGAAAUUGUCUUCACUGCAAAGAAUCUUCUUCCUACCAUUCUUCACCAAACCUCUUAGAAUUAUGGCUUUGUGGAGUCCAACAAGUAGGUCUUCAUAAUUUGUAUCCCAUAUUUUCUAAGCAAACACCACCAUUUUAGAGAGUGUCAAUUCUCCAUCUAACUAAGAGAUUUUUGCAAAAAAAAAAACAGAUUCAAAAGAGUUAGUAGUGUUUUUUUGUGUGCCAUAUGUAUAGGAAAGAGUUCUUACCUAAGUCUUUGGCCCUUGAUGCAAAUAAGUUUACCACAUUCAACCUUGAUAGAAUUUGCAUAUGGACAAGACUAUAAUAAAAACCUCUCAUUCACAUUCUUUUGGUGUAGGCCAUCAAUUCUUGAGUUUGUCAUUCAUUUGUUUAAAUUCUUAUUGUAAAUAUAGUACUAGAGCAUCAACUAGUUCAUAUUUGAGGUACUAGCCUCUACAAGUUUUUCACAAGGAGUGAUUAGUAAUAAUCUUACCUUAGCUCGUGGUUUCACUUUAUAAGAGUAGCACCUGCAACUAUACACAUUGCAUACUUUGAAAGAGUUUCAGGUUCAAUUUGUAAAAGAAUUAGUUCCUACAUCUGAUAUUGUUUAACUAUCUAUACAAGAGCUUGUAACAAAACUUCAACUAAGCAACCACUUAUGAGUACAUGUAACAGUGUAACAAAUGGUAGGUUUGAGAGGUUAUUUUGGUGUUGUUCUAGUGUAGAUGAGUUAAGGGUUUGUUAACUGUUAUCAUCCCCCCAUAAGCUUGUUGGAAUUUAAAGGUAUGGAAAUAAAAUACUAACCCAAAAGACACAAACAAAGAACAUAAUGAAUAAAAAGAAAAACUUAUCGGUUGAGGCGUGACAAACACUGUCCUUGAAAUAGAUUCACCCUCCUCGAAGACAAACUUGGUGCACUUGGGUACCAGUGGUCUACCUCCAGAAUUCAACAACCAGAUCUCGCAUUGGGUGCACUCUGAAAGCGAGAUGUGUACAACUAGGGUGUUUGACUAAAUUCCUCCAAAUAGAUAUAUGAAAAUACUCCCUAAAAAACUCUCUGAAAAAAUUCUCUGAAAAUUCGGUAUUCAAGUAUAGAGAGGGGUGACCUGCUUUUAUAGGCCACUAACACAGUCCCAAAAGGAAUCUACUUGUAAUUAGGAAAUGACACAAAGUGGAAGGAGAAUCUACUUAUAAAAAGGAAUGAGAUUCCACUAGCACAAUCCCAAUAGGACUCUUCCCAAAAAUAUAACACUAAUAGAAUAAAAUAAAAAAUAAUUUUCAAUAGGACACUUCCAAAAAAUAUAAGAUUAAUAGAAUAAAAUAAAAGUAAUUUCCAAAAAUAAAAAUAGAAAUUAUUUACACUCUUUCUACAAUCCCCCAUAGAGUGUAAACGUAAUUUUAUUUUUAUUUUUUUGAGGAAAAAAGAAUCCAAUGCAUCAGUACUGGUGCCCAAAGGCUAUGAACCAGUCUUAGGACAAAUAAGUAUUGAAUCACAAAACAUGGUGAAAAUAAAUUUUUAUGAACCAGUGUUUCUUAUGUAACUCAAGGGACUUUUAUCCACAUUGGUUUUCUCAACUACACUACAAGCUAUACAAAACGGGUUGGCACAAAUAGGUCAUGCGCUCUGCCUGGAUUUUCAUGAGAGCUCUAGAGAACCUACCUAAGUUCUCAAAGGAAGCAGCCCCACCUCCACUCUCAUAUAGGUGAAUCCAUCAAGUAUGUUCUGCAUUUAAACAUAUCAUCCAUAAGGAAUGUGGUAUUCAUUAAGAGUAAACACUCAACCUUAGUCAAUGCAGAAUACGCUCUAUCUACACCAUAGGGAUGGACUCUCAUACAAUUAGAAUUGAUAGAGCACCUCAAGUCAACAAAUGAUUUGUUAUUACCCAUAUGAACCUACUUCAUGGAAUUCCCAUUCUAAUAGGUUGGGUUACCACCACUCUUGACUUCUGUAAUAGGCAUAAGUCCCAAACCCCUCGAUAUUUUUUCCACUAGUUUCUUAUUUAAUGGUUUGGUCAAAGGAUUGGCCAAAUUCAACUUUGACCUCACAAAUUCUAGGGAUAUAACCCCCUGUUUCAAACAACUGCCGCACAAUAUUGUGUCUUAGGCAUAUAUGCCUAUUCUUCCCAUUAAAUAUUUUACUCAUAGCCUUAGUAAUUGUAGCUUGGCUAUCACAACGCAUAGACACAGACGAGGUUGGUCUCAUCCAUAAAGGGAUAUCUGCUAAGAGGUUUCUAAGCCACACAGCCUCAAAACUUGUCUUUUCUAAGGCAAUAAACUCAGCCUCCAUAGUAGACCAAGUAAUGCGAGUUUGCUUGGCAAACUUCCAAGAAAAUGCACUUUCCCCAAGAAUGAAAACAUAUCCACUAGUGGAUUCCAUCUCAUAUGAAUCUGAGAUCCAAUUUGCAUCACUAAAUCCUUCAAGGACACUUGGAAAUCUAAUAAAGUACAAACCAUAGUUAAUGGUGCCUCUCAAAUACUUAAGGACUCUACAAACAGUAAUCCAAUGGUCCUGAUUAGGACUUUGGGUGUACCAACACAAUCUACCUAUUGCAUAAGCAAUGUCAAGUCUGGUACAAUUCAUUAAGUACAUUAGGCUCCCUAUGAUCUAAGCAUACUCUAUUUGGGCAACACUAUGUUCUCUAUUUUUCUUCAACUAUGAACUGAGAUCAUAAGGAGUUGACACUGGUUUACAAUCAAAGUGUUCAAACUUCCUUAGGAUCUUUUCAACAUAGUGCUCUUGAGAAAGUUUAAGUCCAUUAGGUGUUCUAGUUAUUUUAAUUCCUAGAAUCACCUCUGCCUCUCCUAGGUUUUUCAUAUCAAACUUAGAACCUAGGAAUUUCUUGGUCUCACACACAACCUCUAAGUUAGUUUCUAAGAUCAGCAUGUCAUCAACAUAAAGGCAAAUGACUACACAUGUGUUAUUCUCAUAUUUGUUGUAGAUACACUUAUCAACAUCAUUAAUGAAAUAUCCAUUAGUUACUAACACAUGAUCAAACUUGUUGUGCCAUUGUUUGGGAGCUUGUUUUAACCCAUAUAGUGAUUUAACCAACUUACACACCUUUUUUUUUUUUUUUGUAAGGUAUUCUAUUUUGAAUAUGACAUGCAGAUAGGAUAACUUCCCCCCACAAGUUCAAGGGUGCUCCUGAACUUACCAACAUUGCAAAAAAGGUUUUAAGUCAAUCAAAAUGUGUCCCAAGUUCACUAUAUCAAUGAAUGUCCCAUUGAAGGGAUUAAUUUUAGAGGUGUCAGGACGGGUGUGAACUAGGGAAGCUUCCAUUUGGAUAUAUUUCAAGAUUGUUGGAAUUUAAGGGUAUGGAAACAAAAGACUAACCCAAAAGACACAAACAAAUAACAUCAUGAAUAAAAAGAAAAACUUAUCGGUUGAGGUAUGACAAGCACUGUCCUUGAAAUAGAUUCACCCUCCUCAAAGACGAACUUAGUACACUAGGGUAUCAGUGGUCUACCUCCAGGAUUCAACAGACAGAUCUCGCAUUUGGUGCACUCUGAAAAUGAGAUGUGUACAGCUCCGGUUUUUGAAUAAAUUCCUCCAAAUAGAUGUAUGAAAAUACUCCCUGAAAAAUUCUCUAAAAAAAUUCUUUGAAAAUUUGGUAUUCAAGUAUAGAGAGGGGUGACAUGCUUUUAUAGGCCACUGACACAGUCCAAAAAGGAAUCUACUUAUAAUUAGGAGAUGACACAAAGUGGAAGGGGAGUCUACUUAUAAAAGGAAUGAGACUCCACUAGCACAAUCCCAAUAGGAUUCUUCCCAAAAAUAUAACACUAAUAGAAUAAAAUAAAAUAUAACAAAAUAAAAAAUAAUUAUCAAUAGGACACUUCCUAAAAAUAUAAGAUUAAUAGAAUAAAAUAAAAUAAAUUAAAAGUAAUUUCCAAAAAUAAAAAUAUAAAUUAUUUACACUCUUCCUACAAAGCCCACAAGGUGUGGAACAACAGAUAGCUUGCUGCAAAGUGAGAUGAACUGAGAGCUUGAUAGAUAUUUGGUGAAGAUACCGACCACCUAUUCAUUGGAGGGAAUAUACUGAAUAUUGAAUUCAUGAUGAAGCACCUUGUCUCAGAUAAAAUGGAGGUCUAUUUCUUUAUGUUUGAAGCGGGCAUGGAAAACUAGAUUAGCAGCCAAGGCAACAACACUUUUGUUGUCACACCAUCUCAAUGGAGUUACAACUUAUGGGAUGCAUAAUUCCUUUAAUAAUGCUUGUACCCAUACAAUUUUAGCUAUGAGAGAUGUAAGUGCCCUAUACUCUAAUUCAUCAUUACUUUAACAUACUUUUUUUUUGUUUUAAUGAGGACCAAGAGACAAGAUUGAGGCCACGAAAGAGACAGUAUCCCCCUAUGUUGCACCGAUCAUCAGGACAUGAUGCCCAAUCUGCAUUUCUAUAGCCAUGGAGAUCAAAUGUUGAAGAUGCAUAUAGUGAUAUGCCAUGAGAGAGGGUACCUUUGAGGUGCCUAAGGAUCCGUUUGAUGACAAGCCAGUGUGUUGUGGUUGGUUGUGCCAUAAAUUGGCAUGCCUUAUUCACUAAAAAUGAGAGAUCUGAAUGGGUGAUCAUGAGGUAUUGAAACGCUCUCACUGUGCUGCAAUAUAGGGAGGUAUCUAGUACUGGAUCACCAUUAGUAAGAGAAACUUAUUUGCCAAGAGCUCUAGGUGUGAGUGUUGGUUUGGUGUCUGCCAUUUUUGUUCUUUGAAGAAGGUCUUGAACAUACUUAUGUUGACCGAGAUGUAGUGAAUUAGAUUUAUGAAUGACCUCAAUUCCUAGAAAAUAAUUGAGGUUACCAAGGUCUCGAAGAGCAAAAUUGAUGUUGAGAUGCUUGAUAAAUUGAAAUACUUGAGUAGUGCCACUAGUGAUCAAAAUGUCAUCAACAUAGAUAAGUGGAAUAAUAAGAUCAAUAGUUGAAUGAUGAAAAAAUAAUGAAGUAUCAGCUUAAGAGCAUUGAAAUCCAUAUGAGACUACAUGGUUGUUGAGUUUAGUGAACCAAGCUCUAGGAGCUUGUUUGAGCCCGUAAAGUGCCUUGUAGAGAUGACAAACAUGAGAUGAGAAUUACGAAUUUACAAAGCCAGGUGGUUGAUGUGUACAUACUUGCUCUUAAAGAUCCUCAUUAAGAAAUUGAGGCAUUUUGAAUGUCUAGUUAAUGUAUUGACCAGUGUGAAUACAGAGCAAUAUUAAUGACAAUUCAAAUGGUUGAAGGCUUAACAAUUGGGCUAAAAGUUUCAAAAUAAUCAAUGCCCUGAGUUUAGAUAAAACCUUUGGCAACUGACCUAGAUUUAUAACAAUCAAUGUUGCCAUCUGGUUGAUAUUUGAGUUUAAAAAUCCAUAUGCAACAAAUAAUGUUUGUUUGAGGAGUGGUGGAAUAAGGGUCCAUGUUUGAUUUUUCGCUUGGCACUAGUUCUAAUCUGUCAUAACUUGUUUGAAUGUGCGUGGCUCAAUAGGUGAGGAACAACAUAGGCCUUCUUGAUGAUGCUAGCCUUAGACCAUGUUAUCAUGGGAUGGUAGUUGGUUUUAGAAGGGUUGGAAGAAUUUUUGGAUGUAUUAUGGAAUGGUAUUGGAAUGAUAGGUGGAAUAGUAGCAUGGGAGACAGAUAGAGAUGGUACAGUUAUAGAAAAAGAAUUAGGAAAAGAAAUAGUUGGUGUUAAUACUGAUGAAGUAGUUAUGGUUUGAUAAGGAAUGAAGCUAGGGACUAUUGGAGUGAUGACUGGCCAUCCAAGACUUUGGAAUAGAAAUAUUGACUCGUAAAAAAUGACAUGUCGAGUGAUAUAUACUUGAUUUGUGGAUGGGUGAAGGCAGUAGCCUUUAUGAGACAAAUUGUAACCAAGAAAAAUGCAUUGAGCUUAUCAGGGAAGAGAUUUGUUGGAGAUAUAGGGUCAUAAGAAUGGAUAGCAUAAAUAACCAAAGGUUUUGAAGGACUUGUAAUCUAGUGGUUUCUGAAAAAUGAGUUGAAAAUGAGAUAUAUUAGCAAGAACAUGUAUGGGCAUAGAGUUGAUAAGGUGCAUGGCUAUUUGAAAAGCAUAGGCCCAAAAUUUGUGGGGUAAUGAGGUAGUGUUGAGAAUAGCUAAACCGGUCUCAAUAUGGCAAAUUUUCCUUUCAGCUCUUCCGUUCUGUUCUGAUGUAUAUGGACAAGAAUAACGGUGUUGAAUUCUAGAUCUUGCAAAGUGAGGUGCAAGGGCUUUAAAUUCUCCUUCAUCAUCAUAUUAGAGGCUUUUGAUAGAACAAUUAAACUGAUUUUUUACCAGAGUUUUAAAUUGAAGAAACAUAGAAGACUCCUAAUCUUUAGGGCCCCAUAAAUCCGCGUGGAUCAAUUCAAGUAAAUGGGAGGCUUUGGAUGUAUAUGGUGUAAAUUAUUAAUGGUAUAAAUUAUUAUUAUUAUUAUUAUUAUUAUUAUUAAAAGAGAUCGUUGAGGAGGGGUUGACAAUGGGAAAUUUGUAGAGGCCAUGUUCAAUAGUCCUUGAAGAAGAGUCUUCUUGGUUUUCUUGACCUUGUUAAGAAAGAAGUGAGGAUGGAAUUCAAGAAACGAGUUGUUGUUAGUACAAAAUUUUGAUAUGCUGAUAAGGUGAGGAACCUAAAAUACAUCUUUUAAAUGAAAUAGUUUAUGAGGGAUGUAAAGAUGCUUAGAGCCAACAUGUGAUAUGGAGAGUUUCUUACCUUAGCCAAUAGUGAUCAUAUCCUUGCCUUGAUAAGGUUGUGAAUUGGAGACAUUUUCCUUCUUGUGUGAAAAAUGAUGACUGACACCAAUGUCAAGGAGCCAAGAAUCAUUGAGACUUGGAGUGGAUGAGGCUAUCAUUGCUAGAAUGUACUGGUUGUUGAAAAAAUUUGGAUACAAUGGAGAAAGGAAACACUCUCACACACUCACUUUUGUACAAUAAAACUCUCUUAGAACAAAAUAAGAAGAAGAAGAAGAAGAACCCAAGAAAAGCUCAAACAAGUUCUUGGAACUUUGUCCAAAGACUCUAUUUCCUCCCACCUCUAGAAAUCUUUUUGGGAACUAAAUGGAAAUAGUCUUGGGAUUGAUCAAGCCUUUUCACUUUUCUGCAUGAGAUUUCAAAAAGAAGAAAAGUCAUAUAUAUAGCACUCUUAGGGUUGAAAAAAGGUUACAAGGAUGAGAAAAACUCAUUGUCUUCCUCAAUCUCUUCAUCUUUGUAACAUUCAAAAUUAAAUCAUAUGUUUAAUUCACACAUUAAACAUGAUUUAAUCUCAAAUGUGUAACUCUCUUACACUUAACCUCUUAUGUUUAUAAAGUUACAAAGAUGAGAAGACUCAUUGUCUUCCUCAACCUCUUCAUCUUUGUAACAUUCAAAAUUAAAUCAUAUGUUUAAUUCACACAUUAAACAUGAUUUAAUCUCAAAUGUGUAACUCUCUUACACUUAACCUCUUAGGUUUAUAAAGUUACAAAGAUGAGAAGACUCAUUGUCUUCCUCAACCUUUUCAAGUUUUGUAACAUUUCAAAACUUAAUCAUGUGUUUAAUUCACACAUUAAAAGUGUAACCCUUCUUACACUUUAUUUUCCAAAAGUUAUUUUCAAAAGUGUAACUCUUCUUACNNNNNNNNNNNNNNNNNNNNNNNNNNNNNNNNNNNNNNNNNNNNNNNNNNNNNNNNNNNNNNNNNNNNNNNNNNNNNNNNNNNNNNNNNNNNNNNNNNNNUGGUGAGUUUUAUUUAAGGAGUUUUAGUCCCAUCCCUCUAGAUGUUAUCCUUACUAAAUCUCUUGUAAGAGGUUUAGUAAAAGGAUCCGCCAAGUUUCCACUUGACCUCACAAAUGAGAUUGAGAUGAUUCCAUUUUGAAUCAAUUGUCUUACAUACUCAUGUCUAAUGCUUAUAUGUCUAGACUUCCCAUUGUACACUCCACUAUACGCACGAGCUAGAGUGGCUUGACUGUCACAAUGUAUCGACACUGUUGACACAUUAUUUGCAGUAAAAGGGAUGUCCAUCAUGAGAUCCCUAAGCCACUCAGCUUCUUUUCCAGUUGCAGCUAGAGCUAUAAACUCUGCCUCCAUGGUUGAGUGUGAUAUACAAGUCUGUUUCUUAGAUCCCCAAGAGACAGCCCCACCACCAAGUGUAAACACCCAACCUGUGGUAGAUAAAUUAUCUCCCACACUCGAUAUCCAGCUUGCAUCUGAAUACCCUUCAAUUAUAGCAGGAAACUUUGAAUAUUGGAGGCUUAGUUCUUUGGUAUUCUUUAGGUAACCAAGAACUCUACCAAUAGCUUUCCAAUGUUCCACGCUUGGAUUGCUAGUAAACCUACUUAGUUUACUAACUGCAAAUGAAAUGUCAGCCCUAGUACACUGAGCAGCAUACAUAAGACUUCCAAUUGCACUUGCAUNNNNNNNNNNNNNNNNNNNNNNNNNNNNNNNNNNNNNNNNNNNNNNNNNNNNNNNNNNNNNNNNNNNNNNNNNNNNNNNNNNNNNNNNNNNNNNNNNNNNNNNNNNNNNNNNNNNNNNNNNNNNNNNNNNNNNNNNNNNNNNNNNNNNNNNNNNNNNNNNNNNNNNNNNNNNNNNNNNNNNNNNNNNNNNNNNNNNNNNNNNNNNNNNNNNNNNNNNNNNNNNNNNNNNNNNNNNNNNNNNNNNNNNNNNNNNNNNNNNNNNNNNNNNNNNNNNNNNNNNNNNNNNNNNNNNNNNNNNNNNNNNNNNNNNNNNNNNNNNNNNNNNNNNNNNNNNNNNNNNNNNNNNNNNNNNNNNNNNNNNNNNNNNNNNNNNNNNNNNNNNNNNNNNNNNNNNNNNNNNNNNNNNNNNNNNNNNNNNNNNNNNNNNNNNNNNNNNNNNNNNNNNNNNNNNNNNNNNNNNNNNNNNNNNNNNNNNNNNNNNNNNNNNNNNNNNNNNNNNNNNNNNNNNNNNNNNNNNNNNNNNNNNNNNNNNNNNNNNNNNNNNNNNNNNNNNNNNNNNNNNNNNNNNNNNNNNNNNNNNNNNNNNNNNNNNNNNNNNNNNNNNNNNNNNNNNNNNNNNNNNNNNNNNNNNNNNNNNNNNNNNNNNNNNNNNNNNNNNNNNNNNNNNNNNNNNNNNNNNNNNNNNNNNNNNNNNNNNNNNNNNNNNNNNNNNNNNNNNNNNNNNNNNNNNNNNNNNNNNNNNNNNNNNNNNNNNNNNNNNNNNNNNNNNNNNNNNNNNNNNNNNNNNNNNNNNNNNNNNNNNNNNNNNNNNNNNNNNNNNNNNNNNNNNNNNNNNNNNNNNNNNNNNNNNNNNNNNNNNNNNNNNNNNNNNNNNNNNNNNNNNNNNNNNNNNNNNNNNNNNNNNNNNNNNNNNNNNNNNNNNNNNNNNNNNNNNNNNNNNNNNNNNNNNNNNNNNNNNNNNNNNNNNNNNNNNNNNNNNNNNNNNNNNNNNNNNNNNNNNNNNNNNNNNNNNNNNNNNNNNNNNNNNNNNNNNNNNNNNNNNNNNNNNNNNNNNNNNNNNNNNNNNNNNNNNNNNNNNNNNNNNNNNNNNNNNNNNNNNNNNNNNNNNNNNNNNNNNNNNNNNNNNNNNNNNNNNNNNNNNNNNNNNNNNNNNNNNNNNNNNNNNNNNNNNNNNNNNNNNNNNNNNNNNNNNNNNNNNNNNNNNNNNNNNAUUCAAGAAUGCCGUUUUGACAUCCAUUUGAUGAACAAAUAGAUUAUGAAUUGAUGCCAAAGCAAACAAUAUCCUAAUCGAUGUUGUUCUAGCCACCGGCGCAUAGGUAUCAAAAUAAUCAAUACCUUCUCUUUGUUUAAACCCCUUAGCUACUAAUCUAGCCUUAAAGGUUUGAAUCAUGCCAUCGGUGUGAUAUUUCCUUCGAAAUAUCCACUUGCACCCUAUUGGUUUAGAUCCUGGUGGAAGGUCUACCAAUUCCCAUGUUUGGUUGGACAUAAUUGAAUCCAUUUCAUCAUUGAUAGCCUCUUUCCAAAAAGCAACAUCUCUAGAAGCCAUAGCUUCUUUGUAUGUUUUGGGAUCCUCCUCUAUUUGAAGUACUAUAGGAAUUUUUCUUAUAAUAUCUUCUCUAUUUCCUUCUACUAAGUAGAAGGAAAUUCUUUGAGAGUCAAUCUCAUCCGAUCCCAACACUUUCUCUUUUCUAGCUCUUUGGCUUUUCCGAGGCACAAUGGGUUGCUCAACAACUUUUGAAGGUGUCUCUUCUAGAGACUCUCCAACACUAGUAGGUACUUGAGAAUUGCUAUCACUCAACAAAUUCUCAAAGAACUCUACCUCUCUUGAUUCAAUUAUCAUAUUAGACUCCAAGUCUAAUAGCCUAUAAGCUUUGCUAUUUGAGGCAUAGCCUACAAAUGCACACUUAAUGGCUCUUGGACCCAAUUUUGUUUUAUUUGGAUCCGUUUUCUUGCAAUAAGCAAGACACCCCCACACUUUGAAGUAACCUAUAUUAGGCUUCCUUCCUUUCCAUAACUCAUAUGGAGAUAUCUCAUUUUUCUUCAUAGGAAUUCUAUUCAAAAUAUGGCAAGCAGUAAACAAAGCUUCACCCCACAAAUUGAAAUUCAAUUUAGCAUGCAAUAACAUAGCAUUCACCAUUUCCAAGAAUGUUCUAUUCUUUCUCUCCGCUAUGCCAUUGUGUUGAGGUGUAUAGGGUGCGGUGCACUCAUGUAUUAUGCCAUAUUCUUCACAAAAAGAAUUGAAUUCACUAGAGAAAUAUUCACCACCUCUAUCACUUCUAAGCACCUUAAUAUUUUUUCCUAGUUGAUUUUCAACUUCGGUUUUGUAAACUUUAAAGGCAUUGAAAGUUUCACUUUUGUUUUUCAACAAAAACACAUAGGUAAAUCUAGAACAAUCAUCUAUGAAUGUAAUAAAAUACCUAUUUCCACCUCUUGUUAACAUGCCAUUAAGUUCACAAAGAUCACUAUGUACUAAAUCAAGCAAAUUAGAUGAUCUCUCAACACUAUGAAAAGGCUUUUUAAUCAUCUUUGAUUUAACACAUAUUUCACACUUUUCAAAUUUCUUGGUAUCACAAGCAAUCAAACCACAUUUCACAAUCCUUUUAAUAGUGCUUAAACCAACAUGUGCAAGCCUAUUAUGCCACAAAAUUAAAGAAUUUGAAUCACACAUAUAAGCGGAAGUAGACGUCAUUUUAUUGAUAUUGUCAUUGGUACUAAGUUUGAUCAUCCCAUCACAAGAAUACCCCUUUCCCACAAAGUUCCCCGAUUUGGUUAAAAUUAGCUUACCGGAUUCAAACACCGCUUUGAUACCCGGUUUGCCAAGCAAAUCCCCACUAACCAAAUUUUUAUUCAUAUCGGGGACAUACAAUACAUUUUUAAGGGUAACCUUUUUGCCGGAGGUAAAAACAACUUCAAUAGUGCCCUUGCCAAGCACCUUGGAUUUUCCUUCAUUGCCCAUUUGAACCUCUUGAUCUCCCUUUGCAUCUUCAAAGGUCUUGAAAAGAGAUUUGUCAUAGGUAACAUGAACUGUGGCACAAGUAUCAUACCACCAUCCUUGCACCUUUCCUUGGACAACGCACACAUCGCUUAGUGUUGCAAUGAUCUCCUCAUCAAUUGCAUUCACCACAACCCCUUUUUGGUCCUUUCGGAACCUACACUCCCUAGCAUAAUGCCCGGGUUUUCCACACACAAAACAAGGACCUUUCUUGCCCUUAAAUUGCUCUUGAUUUUUCUUGGGGCUCAUAUAAUUUCCGGAAUUCUUUUUGUUGUUGUUAUUUUUACCUCUAGGAUGAUUGGCCUUUGAAAUCGCAUUGGCUUUGUUAGUCCCACCAUUGGACUCUUCCACCAUUUUGUCUCUUGAUCUCGAUUCUUCCUCAAUGCGAAGAUGUUUUUGAAUCUCUUCCAAGGAGUAAUCUUCACUCUUGUGGAGAAUCCUCUUCCGGUAACCUUUCCAACUUGAUGGUAAUUUAGCCACAAUAGCACCAACUUGGAAGGCCUCCGGAAGUUCAAUUUUGAGAACUUUCAACUUAUUCACAAUUACUUGCAACUCAUGAAUUUGUGGUAAGAGAGGCUUUUCAUCAAAAAAUUUGAAAUCUAUGUAUUGAGAAAUAAGAAACUUUUUGGUACCUUCUUCCUCGGCUUUGUACUUGUUUUCAAGAGCCUCCCAAAUCUCCCUCGCGGAAUUGGUGUUGGUGUAGAGAUCAUAUAGCCUAUCGGAUAAGGCGUUCAAAAUAUGACCCCUACAUAUGAGCUCAUCCUCCUCCCUCUUCUUCCUUGCCGCCACCACUUGAGGUGUGUCAUUUUCCUUUGGUUCCGGUAAUGGUGCCAAGGUAGGAUCAAGGAUGUAGAAAAUCUUGAGUGCUGUGAGAAGAAAUCUCACCUUGUCUUGCCACCUAGUGAAGUUAGAACCAUCAAAACGAUCCAACCUCACAAGGUCUUGGUUCAUAAUCUUGAUAGUCUCUCCCUCCAUUGACUUAGAGUCUUUGAUUGUUGAAAAAAUUUGGAUACAAUGGAGAAAGGAAACACUCUCACACACUCACUUUUGUACAAUAAAACUCUCUUAGAACAAAAUAAGAAGAAGAAGAAGAAGAACCCAAGAAAAGCUCAAACAAGUUCUUGGAACUUUGUCCAAAGACUCUAUUUCCUCCCACCUCUAGAAAUCUUUUUGGGAACUAAAUGGAAAUAGUCUUGGGAUUGAUCAAGCCUUUUCACUUUUCUGCAUGAGAUUUCAAAAAGAAGAAAAGUCAUAUAUAUAGCACUCUUAGGGUUGAAAAAAGGUUACAAGGAUGAGAAAAACUCAUUGUCUUCCUCAAUCUCUUCAUCUUUGUAACAUUCAAAAUUAAAUCAUAUGUUUAAUUCACACAUUAAACAUGAUUUAAUCUCAAAUGUGUAACUCUCUUACACUUAACCUCUUAUGUUUAUAAAGUUACAAAGAUGAGAAGACUCAUUGUCUUCCUCAACCUCUUCAUCUUUGUAACAUUCAAAAUUAAAUCAUAUGUUUAAUUCACACAUUAAACAUGAUUUAAUCUCAAAUGUGUAACUCUCUUACACUUAACCUCUUAGGUUUAUAAAGUUACAAAGAUGAGAAGACUCAUUGUCUUCCUCAACCUUUUCAAGUUUUGUAACAUUUCAAAACUUAAUCAUGUGUUUAAUUCACACAUUAAAAGUGUAACCCUUCUUACACUUUAUUUUCCAAAAGUUAUUUUCAAAAGUGUAACUCUUCUUACACUUUAUUUUUUAACCAACAAUAUAUAUAUAUAUAUUUAUAUAAAUAUAACACUGGUUUGGUGCUGUAAAUGAAGGCUUAGUAGAGUUUGUAGAUAAGUUAUCGAGUCCUUGAAAAUUAAUGUCAAACCUAUGAUAACAGGAGACCACAGUAUGACCAUGUUUGCUACAAAGUUGACAUCGUGGUCUAUCACCAGAAUGUCGUGUAUGAUGACCUUGAUCACGACAUUCUGUAUCUUACAUUAUUGGAUUAACAUAUUUGGCAUUUUUCCCUGAAUAUAUUUUGGACAUGAAACUUCUAUUUAUAUAUUUUCUAAUGCACAUAGAAUCGAGUUUCCCUUCCUGAAUUCAGAAACAAUCUAGGAUAGACGCAGUGCAAAUUUCUAAUUUAGAUUCAAAUCUUUAAAGAAACAAACUUUUUGUUAUGAUCAAAAGUGAAUUAAAUUAUGAUCAAAACUGAACUGGAAAAGUAGAUUCCAUACUCAAAGACGAUUUAUUGGGCUUAUCUAGCCUUUAUUCAGUAUCUUAGUAUCUGUAGAUGCAUCCCAGGAAAAUAUGGCAGAUUGUCUGGCUAUAAUGUGUUUUUAAUUCCCUAAACAAUUUUAUCUUAAUAAGUAGUUAUUGAUGUAAAUUAAAGUUAGAUAUUUUCAAUCUUAUUAUGACAGGCUUUGGAUGCAGGCAGGAGUGAUGCAAACUCAUGACGAGGAAACUCAGAAGUUUUUCAAGCACUCUUCUGUUCUUUGUGUGCUGUCACCUCGUUAUGCCAGCAGUAAGCUUAGCAUUUUCAAGCAACAGGCAUGCUUUAUACCAUGGUCCAGUAAUUUUUGUUCAAUAUUAACACAUCCUAGUCCUUAUAAUGUAUCUCAAAAUCCUGCUCAUUUGAAACUUCUGCAUUUUGUAGCUUUACCCAUUUUUAUUUACUUUCUUUUUCUUUGUAAUUAACUCAAAGCCAAGAGCAUAAAAUAUAUGAUAUCCAAUUAUUUGUCCCAUGAUUUCAGAAGUUAGGGAGGAACAGAUCCAACUCCGGAUCAUGUGAUCAAAGCGACGCUAGGUGAGGAAUUUUGGAUUGAUUGCAUCGGCUGUGUUGGUCUUGGGAGCAUAAGUCCUUAAUCCUUUAAUAUGUUCUUCAAACGUAUUAGCAUACAUUACAUUCUCCAUUUGGGUUUUCUAAAGAAUGUGGUUGUUUCUAUCCAACUUUAUGGGAAAAGGAGGAUUUAUCUUGUGUAGUGACUAAACCAUGUUCUGUUGCUGUGAUGAAAUAAUAUUUGGAAUGGUUGGUGGGUUGGACUAUAUUUAAUGACAACAUAAAUAUAAUAGGAAAAUAUUGUCACCAAUUAUUUUUGGGCCAAUUUUUGGCACCUCCUAAUUUGGAGGAAAAAUGAUUUAAUGACAAUUAUUAUUUUAUUGUCACUAUUUCUAUGUAGAUUUUUUAUAAUACAAACUCCAAGAAAUCAAUAAUAUAUAUUAUUUUUAUAUUUAUGUUUUUGUCAAAUUAGUAACGGAAUAUAUUAGCUAAAUUUUAUAUUUAGAUAAAAUCUUAUUUUUUCUUUUAUAAAUAUUUUUCAAAAAUAAAAAAUAAUCUGAAUACAACUUCUAACAAGAAUAUUCCUUAUAUAAAUUUUGUAAAAAAUUAUCAUAUAAUUAAAUUUCACAUUUAGGAUAACAUUUUUCUAGUUCUACACUUAAUGUAUAUUUAUAAAAUUUAUUUAUUUUUUUAUUCUCUCAAAUAUCCUUUUAAGAUUUAUUGUGGCUAAAAUUAAAGUGAGAAUAUAUAUCAUACUUAUAAUGAGUUAAAAGAUUAAUUUAUAUUUAAAUCAAAGAUAAUCUAUAUGAAGGAUUAAGCAAAAAUUUAUAUUUUAUUCAUAUUGUAUUUUAGUAAAUUUAUUAUGCACUUUAUAUAUAAGAAAUUACUUUUGCUAUGACAUGUGGGGAGGUACUCUAGCUAAGUCAAAUAUUAAAAAAAAAAUGAAAAAUGAAAAAACUUUCUUUUAUUAUAAUAUCUUACCAAAUAGUUUUUUUGUCCUUUUGAGGAAUUUAGCAUAUUAAAACCACGUAAAGAAAACUUUCUUUAAAUAAAUUAUUAUAUUAAGUUAUUUUUUCAAAAUUUUCAAUUAUUUCCUUUCAAAACUUAAUUAUAUUAGAAGGAAUGUAGAAAAUUUUCUUUAUAAAAUUAUUUUAUAGAGAGGUUUUUCUAUAGUUUUAUCUCUUUCUUUUUAAAAGUAGUUUUUCAAUAGUAAAGUUGUUUAAUUUUUUUUUUUUUUAAUCUCCCUCAUAUUUCUUACCUCAUAGUUCAAGGUAGUACAUAUGUUUUCUUUGAAUUAUUACGUUGAAGGAACAAUAAGGUAUUUAAAUUAAUUUACUUUAAUUUUUUUUCUUAUGAUGCAAAAUUUUAUAUUUGUUAUUUUUUUAAAUAAUGUUAAUCAUUUUUUUAGAUUAGAUAGUUUUGAGUUUUUAGGUUUUAACAUUUUUAAAUAUAUGAAUCAAUAGCAAUAAAUCUUAAUUACACUUUCUUUUAAAAAAAUUAAUAUUAUGAUACAUUAAAAUUAAUCUUUCACUUCAAAUAUUUUAAUUUUGUGUAAUUAUGAAUAAAUAUUAUGUGACAUUCUUUAUAAUGGUAAUUUGAUUAUGCAAGUGAAAAUUCAUCAAUUAUAACAUUAUAUUUUUUUUUUCAAUUGUAAUUUAAACUAUUCAACAUAGUGAUGCUUAUAUAUAAACAAUUAGUUAAGGAGAUUGUAUGAGUUGAUUAUGAAAAUGUAUAUUUUUUAAUUAUUCUCAAUGGUGAAAUUUUAUAUUCCCAUUCAUCUAUAACAAGUUUCUUAAACAAUUACUUUAGUUUAAUUUGUUAAUUAUUGGGACAAUUGUGUUUUGGACCUAGUUGGACCCAAAAUUAAGCUUUCGUUCAUAUAAGUUCACUAUUUAAGUCCAAAACCUAGAGGAAGUAGGAAAAUUGAGAAUAAGGAUAUUAAGUUUUUAUCUUUCCAAAAAUAAUCUGUAUUGACUAUGAAAAGAAAAAGAGUAGAAAAACAUUAAUUUAAAUUUUAUUCCUUUUGCAAACCACAAAAAAAUUUAAUAUAAUUUAGUGAUUUGAAAAAAAAAAUACACCAUUUUCCAAAAAAAUAAAAAUAAAUUAUUAUUAUUUAAAAAUCAAACAUCUUGGAAAAUGUAUAUUUUUAAAAUUGUGUAUAUAAAAAAUAACUACAAAUAUGUCACAUUUAUUUUUUAAAAUGAUAAAUUUUUAUAAUAUAUUUUUAAAAAAAAAUAGUUUUCUAAAACUAAUAAAUUUUCAGAAUAAUUAUUAAAUAAAAUUAAGAUAAAAAAUUUUCUGAAAUAUUAUGGUAGAAAAUAGUUUUGAAGGGUAUAUUGGUCUUUUCAAAUUUUUUAUCUUUCCCAUCAAUUAUGCAACUUUUAUGGAUCAAAUCUUAAUUUUUGAGCCCAACUGGGUCCAAAAGACAAUUAUCCCUUAAUUAUUUUCAUAAACAUAAAAAUUAUCCUUUUAUGGUAUUUAAGAUUUUUUUCCAUACAAAAAAAAUCUUUUACUUCAAAUUUAUCCUUGUUUAGAAAUUAAUUUUAGUUUCAAAGUUAACUAUAAUUUCUAUUUGUGGGAUUGAUUUUCUUCAAAAAAAAAAAAUUUUCUAUCCAAUAUUUAAGAUUUUUUUUCCAUCUGAAAAUUUUGUUUUACUUAAAAUUUGUCUUUGUUUAGAAAUUAAUUUUAAUUUCCAAGUUAAUUGUAAUUUCUAUAUGUGGCAUUGAUUUUCAUCUAAAAAUUAAUUUUUUUUCUAUCUUAUAUUCUUUUCUUAUAAGAAUGUUAUCCUUGUCAUUAUAAGUUUAUUAUAAUAAGAAAUAUUUUGUGAAAUAGUAGCUCCAUGGUCUAUUUAUGGGAGCCAUUUUCUUGAAUUUUUAUACUUGUUAAGUUUGGGAAAAAAACUAGAAAAAAAAAUCUCCUACUCUCUUGCUGUGAAAAAAUGGCCAAGUUGAAGAGAUGUGGGUCAUUUGUCCUCAUAAUGGUCCUCAUGUUGUGCUUUGGUCUGUUCUAUCUAUACUAUUUAGAUUUAUAAUUUAAGUUCUAUGUAUUAUAUAUAUUCAUGGUUCUUUAGUUAUAAUUUUAGGUUUUUCAUAUUUUUAUUGCUUGAAAAUUAUGCAACCAUAUUAUUAUUUAAUGUAAUCAAAUAUGUUUUAACAAAUCAAUUUGAACAUUAGGAUAACUCAUUUAUCAAAUAUGAUUGCUGACUACUUGUUGUAAAUCAUUUAUGUACAUGUUUCAUAUCUAGGAAUUAAUUGAGAUAUAUAAUUUUAAGAUACUAUAUAUGUUAUUUUUACUAUUUUCAAAAACUUUUUUUGAAAAAUAUCAUAAGAAAUAUAAAAAUGUACUUGGUCUUAACAAUAAAUCUAUAGCAAAUAGAUAAGUAAAUUGAUAUUUUAAAACACGCUUUAACACAUUCUCGUGGUUUGCUAUUUGGUUUCAAUUACCAAGGAAGUGGUUAGCCAAGGAAAAUGUUGCAACAAUCACCCCAAACUCGGAGGUUGUGUUCCUGGCAAAGAUGAUGAUCCAGAGGGUGGUGGAAAAUGUUGGACAUUUUGCAUCUCUGAUUGUACCAAGGGAGGCUUUUGCAAGAAAUUAUCUAAUGGUCAUGUUUGUCAUUGUUAUUGUUGAUGACAUGCUUUGUCAUUAAAUACUAUAAAUAAUCUCUUAAUAUUAAUAAUAAUAUGAAUAAUAUCCCUCAAAUGAUGCAAAAUUUGGGAAAUAUAUCCUCUCUCCUCGUAAUAAGAGACAUUUUUAAGAAAGUACUUAAAGCUUUAUUUUAUCUUUGUUAAUGCUGGUGUCAUGCUUUAUCUUUCAAUAAUAUGAAUAAUAUAUCUUCAUGGUGCCAACCAAAUUUAUGAAUCAUAACUAUCAUAUUUUUAAUGUUAUGGACAUAAGGGUGUAAUGUUUCUUAUGCAUACUACUUACAAUAACAAUAAUAAUAUCUUAUUAUUUUGAAAAAUCUAUGUCAUUGAAGUUUUAAAUUUUGAUAUUUAAUUAACAUUUAUGCAUUGUUUACACAAAAGCAAGAAGAAGUUAUAUGGUAUCAUUUCUUUCACCUUGAAGAUCUUCUUAUUUUGCAAAUUAUAUUAUUUUAAAAGCUUUAAUGUAGAUGGUUAAUUCAAAUCUAAUUAUUGUUUUAUAAGAAAGAAAGAAAUCAACAUCUUGUUUGUGCAAUAUAUAUAAGAUUUUUUUUGUUAAGAAUUACAUAUCAUACCAUAACCUCAACCUAAGGAUCACAUCAUCCCUAAAACGUAAGUGAAAAUAUAUGGGAAUUGUAUCUUAAGAAUUAUAUAUCAUAUCAUAAUUUGUGGGUCACACCAUCACUAGUUCUACACUUAAUGUGUAUUUCUAAAAUUUACUUUGAUUUUUUUUUAUUCUCUCAAAUUUCCUUUUAAGAUUUAUUGUGACUAAAAUUAAAGUAAGAAUAUAUAUCUUAUUUAUAAUGAGUUAAAAGAUUAAUUUAUAUUUAAAUCAAUGAUAAUCUAUACAAAGGAUUAAGCAAAAAAUUAUAUUUUAUUCAUAUUAUGUUUUAUUAUUUUAUUAUGCACUUUAUAUAUAAAAAGAAAUUACUUUUGCUAUGACAUGUGGGGAGGUACUCGGGCUAAGUCAAAUAUUAAGAAAAUGAAAAUUUGAAAAAACUUUCUUUUAUUAUAAUAUCUUACCAAAUAGUUUUUUUGUCCUCUUGAGAAAUUUAGCAUAUUAAAACCAAGUAAAGAAAACUUUCUUUAAAUAAAUUAUUAUAUUAAGUGAUUUUGUAAAAAAAUUCAGUUAUUUCCAUUCAAAACUUUAGUUAUAUUAGACGGAAUGUAGAAAAACUUUCUUUAUACAAUUAUUUUAUGAAGAGAUUUUUCUAUAGUUUUAUCUUUUUCCUUUUAAAAGUAGUUUUUCAAUAGCAAAGUUGUUUAAUUUAUUUCUUUUUUUUUUUUAUCUCCCUUGCAUCUCUUACCUCAUAGUUCAAGGUACCUAGUACAUAGGUUUUCUUUGAAAUAUUACAUUGAAAGAACAAUAAGGUAUUUAAAUUAGUUUACUUUCACUUUUUUUUUUCUUAUGAUGAAAAAAUUUAUAUUUGUUAUUUUAAAAAUAAUAAUAAUUUUAAUCACUUUUUAGAUUUGAUAAUUUUUAAUUUUUAAUUUUUAACCUUUUUAAAUAUAUGAAUCAAUAGAAAUAAAUCUUAAUUACACUUUCUUUUUUUUAAAAAAAUAAAUAAAUAUUAUGAUACAUUCAAAUUAAUCUUUCACUUCAAAUAUUUUAAUUUUAUAUAACUAUGAAUAAAAAUUAUAUAUGACAUUUUUUGUAAUAGUAAUUUGAUUAUUUUUUAUUUGUUUUCUUGCGGGUUAGAGAUAUGUGAUACUAAGCAAGUGAAAAGUUUAUCAAUUAUGACAUUACAUUCUUUUUCCGGUUGUAAUCCCCAUAAACUAUUCAACAUAGUAAUGCUUAUAUAUAAACAAUUACUUAAGGAGAUUAUAUGAGUUGAUUAUGAAAAUGUAUAUGUUUUAAUUAUUCUUAAUGGUGAAAUUUUAUGUUCUCGUUCAUCUCUAACAAGUUUCUUAAACAAUUAGGUUUAAUUUUUUAAUUAUUUUCAUAAACAUAAAAAUUAUCUUUUUAUGGUAUUUAAGAUUCUUUUCCAUACAAAAAAUUUCUUUUACUUUAAAUUUAUCCUUGUUUAGAAAUUAAUUUUAAUUUCAAAGUUAAUUGUAAUCUCUAUAUGUGGGAUUGAUUUUCUUCUAAAAGUUUUUUUAUUUUUUUCCUUUCUGAUAUUCUUUUCUUAUUAGAAUGUUAUCCUUCUCAUUAUAAGUUCAUUAUUAUAGGAAAUAUUUUGUGAAAUAGUAGCUCCAUAGUCUAUUUAUAAGAGCGAUGUUCUUGAAUUUUUAUACUUCUUAAGUUUGGGAAAAAAACAAGAAAAAAAUCUUCUACACUCUUACUGUGAAGAAAUGGCCAAGUUGAAGAGAUGUGGGUCAUUUGUCCUCAUAAUGGUCAUCAUGUUGUGCUUUGGUUUGUUCUAUCUAUACUAUUUAUAUUUAUAAUUUAAGUUCUAUGUAUUAUAUAUAUUCAUGGUUCUUUAGUUAUAAUUUUAGGUUUUUCAUAUUUUUAUUGCUUGAAAAUUAUGCAACCAUAUUAUUAUUUAAUGUAAUCAAAUAUGUUUUAACAAAUCAAUUUGAACAUUAGGAUAACUCAUUUAUCAAAUAUGAUUGCUGGCUACUUUUUGUAAAUCAUUUAUGUACAUGUUUCAUAUCUAGGAAUUAAUUGAGAUAUAUAAUUUUAAGAUACUAUAUAUGUUAUUUUUACUAUUUUCAAAAACUUUUUUUGAAAAAUAUCAUAAGAAAUAUAAAAAUGUACUUGAUCUUAACAAUAAAUCUAUAGCACAUAGACAUAAUAGAUUAAGUAAAUUGAUAUUUUAAAACACGUUUUAACACAUUCUCGUGGUUUGCUAUUUGGUUUCAGUCACCAAGGAAGUGGUUAGCCAAGGAAAAUGUUGCAACAAUCACCCCAAACUCGGAGGUUGUGUUCCUGGCAAAGAUGAUGAUCCAGAGAGUGGUGGAAAAUGUUGGACAUUUUGCAUCUCUGAUUGUACUAAGGGAGGUUUUUGCAAGAAAUUAUCUAAUGGUCAUGUUUGUCAUUGUUAUUGUUGAUGACAUGUUUUGUCAUUAAAUAAUAUCAAUAAUCUCUUCAUAUUAAUAAUAAUAUGAAUAAUAUCCCUCAAAUGAUGCAAAAUUUGGGAAAUAUAUCUCUCCUUGUAAUAAGAGAGUCAUUUUUAAGAAGAUGCUUAAAGCUUUCUUUUAUCUUUGUUAAUGUUGAUGUCAUGCUUUAUCUUUCAAUAAUAUGGAUAAUAUAUCUUCAUGGUGCUAACCAAAUUUAUGAAUCAUAACUAUCAUAUUUUUAAUGUUAUGGACAUAAGGGUGUAAUGUUUCUUGUGCAUACUACUUACAAUAACGAUAAUAAUAAGAUCUUAUUAUUUUGAAAAAUCUAUUUCACUAAAGUUUUUAAUCUUGAUAUUUAAUUAACAUUUAUGCAUUGUUUACACAAAAACAAGAAGAGGACAUAAGGGAUCAUACCAUUUGUAUCAUUUCUUUCACCUUGAAGAUCUUUUUUUGCAAAUUAUAUUAUUUUAAAAGCUUUAAUAUAGAUGGUUAAUUCAAAUCUAAUUAGUGUUUUAUCAUAAAGAAAUAAAUAAACAUCUUGUUUGUGCAAUAUACAUAAGAUUUUUUUUGUUAAGAAUUAUAGAUCAUACCAUAACCUUAACCUAAGGAUCACAUCAUCCCUAAAACAUAAGUGAACAUAUAUGGGAAUUGUAUCUUAAGAAUUAUAUAUCAUACCAUAAUUUGUGGGUCACACCAUCACUAAAAUAUAGGUGACACAAUAGCUAAAUCUUAAUAAGUAAUAGAUGACUUCAACUAAAAUAUAAACUAUUAAUAACAAUCUAUAUUAUUAUUCUCUAUAAUUUAAAGUGUUUUGGUAAAACAUAUUAUUUUCUACACUUAAAACUAAAUAUAAACAUCACUAAUAUGGAUAACUAAAUAGCAUAUAAUUUAUAGUGUAAUAUAAUUUAAUGAAAAAAUUGGUCAUUACUUAAUGCAUAAAAAAUCAAUAAAGUUUUUAAAUUUUCAAAAUGAAAAGUGAAGUGCAUUGACCAUUAAGAAAAAAUGAAAUGCAAAAUACCAAAUCUUGAAUUUUAUAAAAUAAAUUAAAUCCAUAAAAGAAAACAAAAAAAUUAAAUUAAGUUAAUAGUUAGACGAGGAAAAAAUGAAGACAGAAUAAUGAAAAAGGAAAAAAAAAAAUAUAAUAACAAAUACAAAUGUGUUUAUAUCUAUAGAAUAACUAGUGGAGGGUAAUUAAAUAGGCUACCCAAUUUAUAUGCGCAAAAUCUAAAUUCUAAAUUUCAUAAUUUUUCAAUUCAUUAUUUUAGUGUGAUUAGAAUCCACAAUUAUAAAAGUUUUAUAACUAUCAAAUUUUACUUUAUGAAUUAGCAUGGACUUAAUUUGUCCAACAUUUAUGGUAACAAAAUAUAAAACAAAUCAUAAUAAUUAGGACACAAGACAUACAUUGGAAACCACUUGCAAAAAUCCUUAUAAGUAUAAGACCAAGGCUCAGUCAAUUAUAGAGCAAAUAUACUAAAUAUGAAAAGCAAAUACAUGUGCACAUUUACUUUGUCUUAAACAAAACCUUCUCCCAAGAGACAUACACUAGCCAACACCUACACUUCGCUUUUAAGUUUGCCACACAACACUCACGCUUCUUAGUGGAAACCUUAAGAACAUAAGGAGAUUAGACAAACCCACCAAUGUGUUUCCAUUGAAAGAGCUUUCAAGUUUCCAACUCAAUUUUUUUUUUCCAAUAUAGUUUAAGAAUAAUGGGGAAGAAAUGGAAAAAUAAUAUAUAUAUAUAUAUAUUAAUGUGUUGUUUUUCCUCUUAUGAGGGUUAUGAAUGAAAGUUUUUUUUUUUUUUUUUUUUAUGAAAACAAAACAAUACUUAUAACAUAAUGCAAAGCCUAUUAAAAUUGCAAAGUGAUCACCAAUACGAAAAUUAGAUUUCAAACUCUCUUAAAUUUUUUUAGACUCCUUUUAAAAUUAAAUUUAAUUAUUAUUUUUUUCAUUAUAAAGUUAAAUCCACCACUUCAAAAAAAUUUCCAAAAGAUUACCAUGAAUCUACCAAGCUCUCAAAAAGAGUUACAAAUCUCACACUAUACUAACUUUUUAGUGCAACAAUACCUUUUUUCUAUUUACACAUUUAACAUAAAUAGAAUACAACUAAAAAAGUCCAAAAAAAUCUUCCUAAAAUCUAACAAUUUCAAGAAAAUAAUAAUCAGAUAUAAAAACUAUGAACAAAAUAGCCUUUAAGAAAUAAUAUAAGUUUUUUCUUAAAAUAAUAAUAAUAAUAAUUCUUGCAAUUUAUUAAAUGAAUGGGAAAAUAUAUUCAAUAAAGGCAAACUAACUUGCAACAAAUUUAUUGAAUCUAUUUCUCUUUAUAUGCCAUAAAAAUGAACACAAGUAAAACAAAGAGGAUAUAAAAAAAAAAGUAAAAAGUUGAAAACGAGAAUGAAAACAAAAAUUACCACUGAGCAUUUAAAUGUCUCUUGAAAGAGCACUUAAUGCAAUGUGGAAAGUACUUAAGCAUUUACAACCCUUGAUGGGGUUCUUGAAGUGACUCAUAUAGUGUUGGGAUACUCUUCCCUCAAUUUCUCAUUCUCAUUCGUCAUUUGAGCACCCUCAUAACUGUUGGGAAUACCGGGAUAUCUCCAUUCCCAUCCUUAUACCAUUAGGGUGCAUGUAAAAUUUGCCAUAGGGCUCUUUAAAUCUAUAAACAAUAGAAUUAAUAACAUAUAAAAACUUUGAUUUGGAGAUGAGGUGACCAUACAUAUUAUCCAGUUGUUCUCAAACAAAUUAAAUUAAAAGAAGAAGCAUCGAAGGUGUCAUAGAUCACAAAAACCAAAGGUCCUCCCCCUGGUUUCUCUUUUUCCUAGAUCUUGAUAUGCAAAGUGAUCGAAUCCUCUCUUGAGAAAGUGGAGGCUAGGGUUGCUUUCUAGGGUUUGAAGAAUAGCAAGAAUAUAAAAAGAAGUCACAAACCCCUAAGGGGGUUUAUAUAAGCUUUUGUAUGGGCUUAAGUGACUUGACCCCAACUUAAGGUUGGGUCACUUAGUCAAGCUUAGUGGAUUAUAAUUAAUUAAUUAGUUUUUUGGGCUCCAAUUAAUUAAUUAGCCUAUUCCACAUUCAUCAAUCAUAAGUUGUUAUGCAACCUUACAUUUCUAUAAAACCCUUAUGUACACAUAUGAACUAGGAAACUAAAUAUAUAAAAGUGACAUCAAUGAAUAUGAGUUUGAGCAGGACCAUUGAAAAUCUAUAGGAAAAUACUGAUUCCCUCAAAAUCCUAUUUUUAAGCUAACUUAACAUCCUACUAGAGAGAGUUGACUAAUAUCCAAUAAUAUUAGAAUGAGAUAUAUACUGAAGUCAAUGACUUACUAUCUAUUGCAUGCAAAUUCUUUAUGAAUUUUUUAAGCUAACUUAACAUCUUACUAGAGAGAGUGGACUACACUCUAGUAUCCUAUAAUAUCAUAAUGAGAUAUAAACUAAAGUCAAUGACUUACUACUAGACCAAGUUCACACUUAGUAAUAUAUCUUGACAAUAAAUUUGUUAAAGUUCAUUAUUAAAAAAUUAAUUAAUUAAUUAAUUUCCAUUAUUUACUUUAAAUUUUAUUUAAUUAAUUAAUAAAUGUAUAAAAACCAUCAUUAUAAUUUUCUUAAAAAAUAUUUUUUAAUAUCAUUUAUAUGAUAAUUAAACUUUUAAAAAAAUAUUAAAAAAUUAUAUAUGCAUCAUAGUUUAUUUUACAUUAUUGAAUACAUUUGAAUUAAAUAAAUUAUAAUUUUAAUAUUAAAUGUAUCAUCAUUUAUCUCAUUAAUCCUAUUUUAACAAUUAUCACUUCACUUUUAAAUUUUUUAUAUUUAUCCUUUUAAUUUUAUUUAAUUUUGAAUGUUUUUAUUUUAAAAUAUUAAAAAUAUAAAUUUAUUCAAAAAAUACUAAAAUAUAAAAAAAAAAAUAAUGGAGUCCUAAUAUUUUAUAAAUUAAAAUUAAUUUGAUUAAAUUAAUAAAUUUCUAAGAUUGAUUUAUCCUUAUUUACCGAUAAUUUUUCUCUUUAGUCAUAUCUAUAUCAAUUAUAUUUAGAAAAUAAUUUUAACAUGUGUAUUUUUAUUUAUUUUAUCAUUUUGUUUUUUGGAGUUUUUCUAAAUAUUUUCAUGAAUUUUUAAUAAUUUUUGUCUUACCAAUAUCUUUAUCAAAAUAUCCAUCGAUAUUUCCGAUAUAUUCGUAAAAUUCAAGUAUUGAUAAAUCCAUAUUUAUCGAUAUUUCAAACUAUGCUUACUAUCCAUUAUAUACAAACUCCCUAUGAAUUGGUGUCUAUAAUUUAACUAGGUAUAUACUAUCAACAUCUUCAAAUUACCUCUUCAAUCCUUAAGUUUCAAGCUUUCCUAUUAUAUGAUCAACUAACAUAUUUUAUUUCUCAAUAAGCAUAUGUCAAAUUUUAAGGAAUUACUAUGAACAUAGUUUUUCGAAACAUAUUUCCUUAUAAUCACCCAAGUAGACACAUUAUCUCAAAUUUAUAAAAUAUCAUGUUGCCUAUCUUGAGUUUCCACGCUACUAAAAAGGCAAAUCUAUGUAUAAAGUAAGUUGAUCAUAACUUGAAAUCUUCAACUUAGUAGUGAGGUUGGUUAUAGCUUUAGUUUACUUAGACUCUCUUAAGUUACUAGGAUGUCAAUGUGCUGGCUAAACCCCCAUCUUAUGGUGCAAGAUUGUUCAAAUGUAUUUUUUAUCUUCAUUUUACACCCCAUUUGGCGCAAGUUGGAGUAAUCCCACCUAUUUAAAUUUUUAAAUUUUUUAUUAUAAUAAAAUAAUUAUAAAUCAAUCAGUAAAUGAAUAGUUCAUAAAUUCUUUUUUAUUUUUAUGAGAAAUAAAACUUAUAUUUCUAUUGUAUAGAUGUUUAAAAAAAAAGUUAAAAUAAUUUCAUAGAUACUCCAUCUGUCUCUAAAGAAAAUCUUUCAAAGUUGUCUUAAAUUGGUUUAUAUCAAAUAUUGAUAAACCUAUUUUAUAUGUUUUUAAAUAUUUUUAAAAAUAACUUCUAUUAUAGUUUUUGUUUUCUAUUAUUCUCCAUAUUUAUAUAAUUUUCAAGCAUACCCUUGAUAUCCCUAGUUCGACUAAAGGUUGUAAAUUCACGUAGGAACAAAAUGAAUUCUUCACAUGGAAGAAGAUNNNNNNNNNNNNNNNNNNNNNNNNNNNNNNNNNNNNNNNNNNNNNNNNNNNNNNNNNNNNNNNNNNNNNNNNNNNNNNNNNNNNNNNNNNNNNNNNNNNNNNNNNNNNNNNNNNNNNNNNNNNNNNNNNNNNNNNNNNNNNNNNNNNNNNNNNNNNNNNNNNNNNNNNNNNNNNNNNNNNNNNNNNNNNNNNNNNNNNNNNNNNNNNNNNNNNNNNNNNNNNNNNNNNNNNNNNNNNNNNNNNNNNNNNNNNNNNNNNNNNNNNNNNNNNNNNNNNNNNNNNNNNNNNNNNNNNNNNNNNNNNNNNNNNNNNNNNNNNNNNNNNNNNNNNNNNNNNNNNNNNNNNNNNNNNNNNNNNNNNNNNNNNNNNNNNNNNNNNNNNNNNNNNNNNNNNNNNNNNNNNNNNNNNNNNNUAUAUCUUGUUUAUUUUUUAUUUAUAGAAAAUGCUUCAAAAUAUUUUAUUUAUAAGGAAAUGAUUUUUAUUUACUUUGUUUUAGAAAAAAGAAUUAUUUUCACAAAUUUCAUUUACAAAAAAAUAUUUCGAUUCAAUUUUCAUUUAAAAAAUAAUAAUAUUUUUACAAAUUUUUAUUACAAUAUUCAAAUCUAAUUUUGUGUACAAGAGAAUAUUUUUACUAAUUAUUUAGAAAAAUGAUUUUCAUAAAUUCAUUUACAAAAUUAAAAAAAAAGAUAUUUCAAUCCAACUUUUAUUUAAAAAUGAGUUUUACAAUUAUUUAUUCAUUUUUUUUAUAAAAAAAAAUUAUUUACAAAAUAAGAGGUAUUCAAAUCCAAAUUUAUUAAAAUAAAAAACAAAAAGGGUUUUUUUAAUUGAAAACAAGAUUUAUCAUUUUUAUUAAAAAUAUUAAAAUUCAAUCCAGUUUGUUUAUAAGAAAAUAAUUUUUACUGGUUUUUUUUUUUUUUUUUACAAUUUUAUUUAAAAAAUGUUUUGCAAUUUUAUUUUAUUUUUUAAGUUUUGCUGUUUUAUUAAACAAAUGCUUUUAAGGUUUUAUUAUUAAAAAAAAAGCCAUUAUUUUUUUUACAAAAAAAAAUGAUUUUACAAUUGUAUUUAGGAAAAAAAAAGUUUUUAUAGUUUUUAUUAAAAAAAUAUUUUUGUAUUUUUCACUUAAAAAUUGAUUUUAAAUUUUUUAUUUAAAAGAAUUGAUUUUAUUUCAUCUUUUAUUUAAAAAGGGGGCAUUGCAAUUUUAUUUAAUUUUUUUUCAGUUUUAUUAAAAAAAAUGUUUUUUUUCAAUUUUAUUUAUAAAAAUGAUUUUCAUAGUUUAUUUUUUUCAAAGAAAAAAAAAUAUUUUUUGUAGGUUUAUCUCAAAAAGGAUUUUCAGUAUUUUUUAUAAAUAAAAAAAAUCAGAUUUUAUUGUAUUUAGUAUUUACAAACUUAAUGACCAAAAAAAAAAAGAAUAGGUUGAAUUGAAAAUAAAAUAAAAAUAUAUUGGAAUAUAUAUAAAUGAACAUAAAAUAAAAUAAAAAAGAAACUGUAGACCCCCUCAGCUAGGGGCAUGGGCGGGUUUUUAUUUUUAUUCUUUUUUUUUUUCUGCUUCUUUUCUGCUUUCUUUAUCCACCCGAGGACGGCUGGAAGUAAAAGGGGGGAGAAGGAGCUAUCCUUAGGUGGCUGUAGGGAUCAGGGAACAGAGGGGCAGGUGCUAGAUUUCCGGAUCUGGGGGAAAAAGAAAGGAGAGGGCGUUCCAGAGAGGGGGUGGCUGAGGAGAAGCGGGAAACCCAUUUCACCAUUUUUUUUCUGAUUCCAGGUAUGACUUCAAUCCGCUUUGCGCUUCCCGUUAUGAACUGUUCUUUUCUGUUUCUCAUUGUUCAUGGUUCAUGACGCUUGAAGACUACAUGCAUUUCUCUGUUCUGGAACGCUUCAAAUAAAGAUCCAUUGCUGCUCUUGUUUUUUUUUAAAUAAAUCUUCACAGCCUCACCUUUCUCUCAUUUUUCUCUCGUUUUCUCUCCGCCCAAACAUCCUUUCCCGUGGUUCUUUUCUUUUUUUUUUAUUUCUUUUAUUUCUUUCUUUUUCUUUCCUUCUCUCUCCGUCUCCAUGGAAAGCCACUCACCUGCUCAAACACUUCUACCAACACUAGUAUAAAGCCGACUGCUAAAAAUGGCAAGGCUCCAGCAGCUUUGGGACCUUGCCCUCCAGACCAAAUGCCUUCCAUUAGACGUUGCUGAACCUGUGGUUUGCAAGCUGGAAGACGAUCCAAACUUCAAGGCCGACAAAAGUUCGGUGCCGACCACCAAUGGCGCGGUGGAGAUGGAUGCAUUCAUCGAGAUGGAGACACGCAGAAGCAUAGGGGCUGCUGUAGGCAAGACCGUCGUCGCCAGAGCAACCCACAAGCGCGCCAUUAUCGACGGUGGGAGCACAUGCAGCGGCGGGCGCGUGGUUAAGCCGAAGGGUCCUUACGGUUGCACCUAGCUGGUGCACUCACUUGCAAAGAAACCAGCUGUCAUGAUGGCCUAGAGAUUGCUAGAUCUCUAUACGUUGCUUGAAUGCAAUGUUGGUGAGGAAAUGUGGCAAUGCCUGCAUGGGGGACCCCUGCAAUGGCUAGUGGGCUUGAUGACUUAGGUGUUUUUGUUAGUGGCUUUGGGCUUGUGAUGAAGCCCAAGCCCAAGCAGGGAGAUAAAAAAAAAAUAAUGAGGAAAAGAAGACCUCACUGAUUUAUUCCAAUUUAAAAUUGGUCCAUUGGCUUGCUUCCACUUUAUACGAAUCACUUUCUUUAAAGCACUAAUUUCUUAAUAAACUUUCUAACUCCCAAUUUCCAAGCCCAAUUUAUAAAAAUUCAACCUACAAAUAAUACUUCAAAAUUCCGAUCAUUAAAAUUCAAUUCCAAUUUCCGAAAAUUCUCAUACUCACUUUAAUCUAUUUAAUUAUUAUUAUUUUAUGUAUCUAUUCUAAAAUUCCAUUUUAAACAAUUCUUUAAAAUUUUCGACUUUCAAAUUUAAUUUCUAACUCCAAAAUUCCAAUAUUCACAUUAAUCUAUUUAAUUAUUAUUAUUUUGAUUAUUUAUUUCAAAACUCUAUUUUAAAUCAAAUUCUCUAGAACUUCUGAUUUCCAAAUUAAAUUUCUAAUCCCAAAAAUUCUCAUCUUCCCAUUAAAUUAUUUGAUCAUUAGUAUUUUAUUUAUUUAUUUAUUUCAAAACUCCAUUUUAAACCAAAUUCUUUAAAACCGCUGAUUUUCGAAUUUAAUUAAAUUCCUAACCCCAAAAAUUCUCGUAUUCCCACUAAAUUAUUUGAUCAUUAGUAUUUUAUUUAUUUAUUUAUUUCAAAAACUUCGUUUUAAAUCAAAUUCUUUAAAACCGCUUAUUUUCGAAUUAAAUUCCUAAACCCGAAAAUUCUCAUAUUCCCAUUAAUUUAUUUAAUCAUUAGUAUUUUAUUUAUUUAUUUCAAAACUCCAUUUUAAAUCAAAUUCUCUAAAAUUUUUGAUUUUCGAAUUAAAUUCCUAAUCUCAAAAAUUCCCAUAUUCCCAUUAAUUUAUUUAAUCAUUAGUAUUUUAUUUAUUUAUUUAUUUAUUUCGAAACUCCAUUUUAAAUCAAAUUCUUCAAAACUUCUGAUUUUUGAAUUAAAUUCCUAAUCCCAAAAAUUAUCAUAUUCUCAUUGAAUUUAUUUAAUCAAUAGUAUUUNNNNNNNNNNNNNNNNNNNNNNNNNNNNNNNNNNNNNNNNNNNNNNNNNNNNNNNNNNNNNNNNNNNNNNNNNNNNNNNNNNNNNNNNNNNNNNNNNNNNNNNNNNNNNNNNNNNNNNNNNNNNNNNNNNNNNNNNNNNNNNNNNNNNNNNNNNNNNNNNNNNNNNNNNNNNNNNNNNNNNNNNNNNNNNNNNNNNNNNNNNNNNNNNNNNNNNNNNNNNNNNNNNNNNNNNNNNNNNNNNNNNNNNNNNNNNNNNNNNNNNNNNNNNNNNNNNNNNNNNNNNNNNNNNNNNNNNNNNNNNNNNNNNNNNNNNNNNNNNNNNNNNNNNNNNNNNNNNNNNNNNNNNNNNNNNNNNNNNNNNNNNNNNNNNNNNNNNNNNNNNNNNNNNNNNNNNNNNNNNNNNNNNNNNNNNNNNNNNNNNNNNNNNNNNNNNNNNNNNNNNNNNNNNNNNNNNNNNNNNNNNNNNNNNNNNNNNNNNNNNNNNNNNNNNNNNNNNNNNNNNNNNNNNNNNNNNNNNNNNNNNNNNNNNNNNNNNNNNNNNNNNNNNNNNNNNNNNNNNNNNNNNNNNNNNNNNNNNNNNNNNNNNNNNNNNNNNNNNNNNNNNNNNNNNNNNNNNNNNNNNNNNNNNNNNNNNNNNNNNNNNNNNNNNNNNNNNNNNNNNNNNNNNNNNNNNNNNNNNNNNNNNNNNNNNNNNNNNNNNNNNNNNNNNNNNNNNNNNNNNNNNNNNNNNNNNNNNNNNNNNNNNNNNNNNNNNNNNNNNNNNUAAAAUUUUUGAUUUUCGAAUUAAAUUCCUAAUCUCAAAAAUUCCCAUAUUCCCAUUAAUUUAUUUAAUCAUUAGUAUUUUAUUUAUUUAUUUAUUUAUUUCGAAACUCCAUUUUAAAUCAAAUUCUUCAAAACUUCUGAUUUUUGAAUUAAAUUCCUAAUCCCAAAAAUUAUCAUAUUCUCAUUAAUUUAUUUAAUCAAUAGUAUUUUAUCUCCAUUUUAAAUCAAUUCUUUAAAACUUUAGAUUUACAAAUUAAAUUUCUAAUCCUGAAAAUUCCCUUAUUCACAUUAAUUUAAUCACUAAUAGUUUGUUUAUUUAUCUUAAAAUCCUAUUUUAAACAAUUCUUUAAAAUUUCUGACUUCUAAAUCUAAUUUCCAAUUUAAAAAAUUCCAGCAUUCCCAUUCAUUUAUUUAAUCAUUAUUUUUGUCCUUAUUAUUAUUAUUCCAUUUAUUUAUUUCAAAAUUCCAUUUUUAAACAUUUUUUUGAAUCCCAAUUUCCGAACUUAAUUUUCGAUUUCUAAAAUUCUAAUUUCUUUCAAGUUUGACAUCCUAAAAUUCCAACUCUUAAAUUUAAUUCUCAAAACUCCAAUCUUCAAAUAAUUUUCGAGACUCCAAUUUCCAAAUUAAUCUCAAAAACCCAGUUUUUCUCUCGAACAGUUUUAAUUCCACUUCGAUUUUUAAAUAAUGUUCUAUUUCUUUUGAUUUUUACACAAGCAAGAAUGAUGAAUCUUCAUGAUUCCGAAAUAAUGGGAUUCGUGAGAUUAAUUCAGGCAGGAUCAAUUGGGUUUUGGUGGGACCCAACAUAUGUGAUUUUCUCAUUGAUUGCUUGAUUCCAUACUUGAUUAGCUUGUCUCACUCUAUGAUCUGCAUGCGAUUAUUUUGUAUUUGUGCACUGACCUUGUCUCUUAUGAUAGUGCUCAGCUUGCAACUAAGGUACGUCACGUACCCCGAUUGUGUUUAUUGAUCAUCAUGCAUGUCUCGCUUUCACACAUUUGAUCAUUGUUUGGUAUCCAUGCUCAAUUAAAUCAAUUAUCACGUCAGUUUCAUUUUAUUAGUAGAAACCCGACUUUAGGGACUUAGAGGGGUGCUAUGGUCUUUACCGUACCUUCCCAAUAAGUAACCUAACUCCCGAGUCCGAUCCGGUUUUUCGUAGAUCACCUUUUCCAAAAUAAGGAGUCGCGCUUAGGGUUUUCUUUCUUAUUUUGUUUACCUUUUUAAAAAUAAAACAAAAUUUCUUAAUUAAUAAAAAUCAAAUUUUCAAAUAAAAAUCGAGCUUGCCUUCGAGUGGGAAACGCAUUGAGCCGAAAUGCAGAGUCCACAGAAACGCUAAUUUAAAUCAAUUUAAUGAAUCAAUUAAUGCAAAUCUUUCAACCCUAGCAAUAAAAUAAUCAAAGCAUAUACAAAUCACAAACCAGUAUACUAAAAAAAAAAUGAAUAGAACCCAUAGAAGCAAGCCCAGGAUUAAAUAAUAAUAGAUCAAAACAAUAAUGUAGGCCUAAAAAAAUAUCCAACAGUCCAAAGCCCAAAUGAAAAUCUUAUAAACUAAAGCCCAACAACAAAACCUAAAUAUCAAAAAACACAGCCUGAGGCCCAAAUGGAAUAAACUAACAUGAUGUCCAAUAACUCAAGCCCAAAAGCAGAGCUGAGCCCAAUCAAAUAUUAGAAUUAAAAUAACAAAGGCCAAAGGCCCAAAUGAAUGUAAUAAAGCUCAAUUAAUCCUAGGCCACAUAAAAUAAAUCAAAUUCAAAGCCCACAAAUAGCCCAUAAUCCACAAACACUGUGUUGUAGAGAUUUUAGAAAAACUUACCCAUGUCUUUCUGAUGAAACCUUGGGAUGAAAGGAUGAUGGUGGUCAUCCUAAAAUUCAUAUUAAAAAGAGAAAGGAAAAAAGAAAAUUUCUUGUUUGGUUACUUUAGGAAAAUAAAAAAGAAGAAUGAUUAAAUUAACCUAUAUCUGCAUCAAAAUGUUCUUAGUGGACACAAUUAUUAUUGUGGCCAUGACAAUAAUCAUUAUAAUUUAUUAUUACUAAUAUUAUUUUUUUAGUAGCAACUAUUGAAACCACAACUUAUGGUUUUUAUAAAUAAAAAAUAAAAGACAAUUGUAAUACAAACUCAAAGAAAUCAAUAAUAUAUAUUAUAUUUAUAUUUAUGUUUUUGUUAAAGAGAAUAUAUCAACUAAAUUUUAUAUUUAGAUAAAAUCUUAUCUUUUUUUAUAAAUAUUUUUUAAAAAUAAAAAAAUAAUUUGAAUACAACUUCAAACAAGAAUAUUCCUUAUAUAAAUUUUGUAAAAAAUUAUCAUAUAAUUAAAUUUCUCAUUUAGGAUAAUAUUUUUCUAGUUCUACACUUAAUGUAUAUUUCUAAAAUUUAAUUUGAUUUUUUUUUAUUCUCUCAAAUUUCCUUUUAAGAUUUAUUGUGACUAAAAUUAAAGUAAGAAUAUAUAUCUUAUUUAUAAUGAGUUAAAAGAUUAAUUUAUAUUUAAAUCAAUGAUAAUCUAUAUUUUAUUCAUAUUAUGUUUUAGUAUAUUUAUUAUGCACUUUACAUAUAAGAAGAAAUUACUUUUGCUAUGACAUGUGGGGAGGUGCUCUGGCUAAGUUAAAUAUUAAGAAAAUGAAAAUUUGAAAAACUUUCUUUUAGUAUAAUAUCUUACCAAAUAAUUUUUUGUCCUCUUGAGAAAUUUAGCAUAUUAAAAUCAAGUAAAGAAAACUUUCUUUAAAUAAAUUAUUAUAUUAAGUGAUUUUGUAAAAAAGUUCAAUUAUUUCCAUUCAAAACUUUAGUUAUAUUAGAGGGUAUGUAGAAAAACUUUCUUUAUACAAUUAUUUUAUAAAGAGAUUUUUCUAUAGUUUUAUCUCUUUCCUUUUAAAAGUAGUUUUUCAAUAGCAAAGUUGUUUAAUUUGUUUUAUUUUUUUUUUAUCUCCCUUGCAUCUCUUACCGUAGUACAUAUGUUUUCUUUGAAAUAUUACAUUGAAAGAACAAUAAGGUAUUUAAAUUAGUUUACUUUCACUUUUUUUUUCUUAUGAUGCAAAAUUUUAUAUUUCUUAUUUUAAAAAAAAAUAAUAAUUUUAAUCACUUUUUAGAUUUGAUAAUUUUGAAUUUUUAGUUUUUAACCUUUUCAAUAUAUGAAUCAAUAGAAAUAAAUCUUAAUUACACUUUCUUUUUUUUAAAAAAAAAUAUUAUGAUACAUUAAAAUUUAUCUUUCACUUCAAAUAUUUUAAUUCUAUAUAACUAUGAAUAAAAAUUAUAUAUGGCAUUUUUUGUAAUAGUAAUUUGAUUAUUUUUUUAUUUGUUUUCUUGCUGGUUAGAGACAUGUGAUACUAAGUAAGUGAAAAGUUCAUCAAUUAUGACAUUAUAUUCUUUUUCCAAUUGUAAUCCCCGUAAACUAUUCAACAUAGUAAUGCUUAUAUAUAAACAAUUAUUUAAGGAGAUUGUAUGAGUUGAUUAUGAAAAUGUAUAUGUUUUAAUUAUUCUUAAUGAUGAAAUUUUAUAUUCUCGUUCAUCUCUAACAAGUUUCUUAAACAAUUAGGUUUAAUUUUCUAAUUAUUUUCAUAAACAUAAAAAUUAUCUUUUUAUGGUAUUUAAGAUUCUUUUCCAUACAAAAAAAUUCUUUUACUUCAAAUUUAUCCUUGUUUUAGAAAUUAAUUUUAAUUUCAAAGUUAAUUGUAAUUUCUAUAUGUGGGAUUGAUUUUCAUCUAAAAGUCUUCUUAUUUUUUUUCCUUUCUGAUGUUCUUUUCUUAUUAGAAUGUUCUCCUUCUCAUUAUAAGUUUAUUAUUAUAGGAAAUAUUUUGUAAAAUAGUAGCUCCAUAGUCUAUUUAUAAGAGCCAUGUUCUUGAAUUUUUAUACUUCUUAAGUUUGGGGAAAAACAAGAAAAAAAAUCUUCUACUCUCUUGCUGUGAAGAAAUGGCCAAGUUGAAGAUAUGUGGGUCAUUUGUCCUCAUAAUGGUCAUCAUGUUGUGCUUUGGUUUGUUCUAUCUAUACUAUUUAUAUUUAUAAUUUAAGUUCUAUGUAUUAUAUAUAUUCAUGGUUCUUUAGUUAUAAUUUUAGGUUUUUAAUAUUUUUAUUGCUUGAAAAUUAUGCAACCAUAUUAUUAUUUAAUGUAAUCAAAUAUGUUUUAACAAAUCCAUUUGAACAUUAGGAUAACUCAUUUAUCAAAUAUGAUUGCUAGCUACUUUUUGUAAAUCGUUUAUGUACAUGUUUCAUAUCUAGGAAUUAAUUGAGAUAUAUAAUUUUAAGAUACUAUAUAUGUUAUUUCUACUAUUUUCAAAAACUUUUUGCGAAAAAUAUUAAAACAAAUAUACCAAUGUACUUGGUUUUAACAAUAAACCUAUAAGACAUAGACAUAAUAGAUUAAGUAAAUUGAUAUUUUAAAGCACACAUUAACAUAUUCUUGUGGUUUGCUAUUUGGUUUCAGUCACCAAGGAAGUGGUUAGCCAAGGAAAAUGUUGCAACAAUCACCCUAAACUCGGAGGUUGUGUUCCUGGCAAAGAUGAUGAUCCAGAUGGUGGAAAAUGUUGGACAUUUUGUAUCUCUGAUUGUACUAAGGGAGGCGUUUGCAAGAAAUUAUCUAAUGGUCAUGUUUGUCAUUGUUAUUGUUGAUGACAUGCUUUGUCAUUAAAUAAUAUCAAUAAUCUCUUAAUAUUAAUAAUAAUAUGAAUAAUAUCUCUCAAAUGAUGCAAAAUUUGGGAAAUAUAUCAUCUCUUCUUGUAAUAAGAGUCAUUUUUAAGAAGAUACUUAAAGUUUUCUUUUAUGUUUGUUAAUGUUGAUGUCAUGCUUUAUCUUUCAAUAAUAUGGAUAAUAUAUUUUCAUGGUGCUUACCAAAUUUAUGAAUCAUAACUAUCAUAUUUUUAAUGUUAUGGACAUAUUUUUAAUGUUAUGGACAUAAGGGUGUAAUGUUUCUUGUGCAUACUACUUGCAAUAACGAUAAUAAUAAGAUCUUAUUAUUUUGAAAAAUCUAUUUCACUAAAGUUUUUAAUCUUGAUAUUUGAUUAACAUUUAUGCAUUUUUUUUACACAAAAGCAAGAAGAGGUUAUAUGGGAUCAUACCAUUUGUAUCAUUUCUUUCACGAUCUUAUUUUGCAAAUUAUAUUAUUUUAAAAGCUUUAAUAUAGAUGGUUAAUUCAAAUCUAAUUAUGGUUUUAUAAGAAAUAAAUAAAUAAACAUCUUGUUUGCACCAUAAUUUGUGGGUCACACCAUCACUAAAAUGUAGGUGACACGAUAGCUAAAUCUUAAUAACUAAUAUAUGACUUCAACUAAAAUAUAAACUAUUAAUAACAAUCUAUAUUAUUAUUCUCUAUAAUUUAAAGUGUUUUAGUAAAACAUAUUAUUUUCUACACUUAAAACUAAAUAUAAAUAUCACUAAUAUGGAUAACUAAAUAGCAUAUAAUUUAUAGUGUAAUACAAUUUAAUGAAAAAAUUUGUCAUUACUUAAUGCAUAAAAAAUCUAUAAAAUUUUUAAAAUUUCAAAAUGAAAAGUGAAGUGCAUUGACCAUUAAGAAAAAAUGAAAUGCAAAAUACCAAAUCUUGAAUUUUAUAAAAUAAAUUAAAUCCAUAAAAAAGAACAAAAAAAAAAAUUAAAUUAAGUUAAUAGUUAGAUGAGGAAAAAUUGAAGAAGAUAGAGUAUAUGAGAAAGGGAAAAAAAAUAAAUAUAAUGACAAAUACAAAUGUGUUGAUAUCUAUAGAAUAACUAGUGGAGGGUAAUUAAAUAGGUUGCCCAAUUUAUAUGCUCAAAAUCUAAAUUCUAAAUUUCAUAAUUUUUCAAUUCAUUGUUUUAGUGUGAUUAGAAUCCACAAUUAUAAAAGUUUUAUAACUACCAAAUUUUACUUUAUGAAUAAGUAUGGACUUAAUUUGUCCAACAUUUAUGGUAAAAAAUAUAAAACAAAUCACAAUAAUUAGGACACAAGACAUACAUUGGAAACCACUUACAAAAAUCCCGCUCAAUUAAUUAUAGAGCAAAUCUACUAAAUAUAUAAAGCAAGUACAUGUCCACAUUUACUUGUCUUAAACAAAACCUUCUCCCAAGAGACAUACACUAGCCAACACUUAGAUCUGAGUCUUAAAAAUGUCUUUACUAAAUAAGUAAAGGAACUAUGAUAAUUAAUUAGUUAAUUUUGAAUACUAAGAAAAAGAAUGACAUGAAAUAAGACCUAAUGAUAAAAACAUAUUACAAUAAUAUAUCAAAAAAAUGAUAAGGGAAUUGAAUAAAUUGAUUUAUGAAACUAAUUAAAAACAUGGGUUUAAUUAUUUCUUAAAUAAAAUAUAUUUUUAAAACAAUUAAAAAGGUUUAUUUACAUUAAAAAAAAAAAAGCUAUUCCAAUUUAUUUUAUUAACAAAAGAAAGUUUUUAAAAAUAUAUCUUGCUUAUUUUUUAUUUACAGAAAAUGCUUAAAAUAUUUUAUUUAUAAGGAAAUAAUUUUUAUUUAUUUUGUUUUAGAAAAAGAAUGAUUUUCACAAAUUUCAUUUACAAAAGAAUAUUUCAAUUCAAUUUUCAUUUAAAAAAUGAUAUUUUUACAAAUUUUUAUUACAAUAUUCAAAUCUAAUUUUAUGUACAAGAGAUUAUUUUUACUAAUUAUUUAGAAAAAUGAUUUUCAUAAAUUAUUUUACAAAAUAAAUAAAUAAAUAAAAGAUAUUUCAAUCCAAUUUUUAUUUAAAAAUGAGUUUUACUAUUAUUUAUUCUUUUUUUUUUAAAAAAAAAAAGUUAUUUAAAAAAUAAGAGGUAUUCAAAUCCAAAUUUAUUUAGAAUCCAAAUUUAUUAAAGGGUUUUUUUUUAAUUGAAAACAAGAUUUUUAUAAUUUUUAUUAAUAAAAAUAUUAAAAUUCAAUCCAGUUUGUUUAUAAGAAAAUAAUUUUUAGUAGGACAGAUGGUUUUUUUUUAAAUUUUAUUUAAAAAAAGGUUUUUCAAUUGUAUUUUAUUUUUUAAGUUUUACUAUUUUAUUAAACAAAUGCUUUGAAGGUUUUAUUAUUAAAAAAAGCCAUUAUUUUUUUACAAAAAAAUGAUUUUAGAAUUGUAUUUAGAAAAAAAAAAAAAGUUGUUAUAGUUUUUAUUAAAAAAUAUUUUUUUAUUUUUCAUUUAAAAAUUGAUUUUAAAUUUUUUUAUUUAAAAUAAUUGAUUUUAUUUCAUCUUUUUUUAAAAAAGGGGGCAUUGCAAUUUUAUUUAAAUUUUUUUUUUCAGUUUUAUUAAAAAAAAAGUUUUUUUUUUCAAUUUUAUUUAUAAAACUGAUUUUUAUAGUUUUAAUUUUUUCAAAAAAAAAGAAAAAAGAAGAUUUUUUAUAGGUUUAUCUCAAAAAGGAUUUUCAGUAUUUUUUACAAAAAAAAAAAAAAUUCAGAUUUUAUUGUAUUUAGUAUUUACAAACUUAAUGACCAAAAAAAAAAGAAUAGGUUGAAUUGAAAAUAAAAUGAAAAUAUAUUGGAAUCUCUAUAAAUGAACAUAAAUUUUUUUUUAAAAAAAACACACUAAUUUAAAUCGAUUUAAUGAAUCCAUUAAUGCAAAUCUUUCAACCCUAGUAAUAAAAUAAUCAAAGCAUAUACGAAUCACAAACCAGUAUACUAAAGAAAAAUGAAUAGAACCCAUAGAAGAAAGCCCAGAAUUAAAUAAUAAUAGCUCAAAACAAUAAUGUAGGCCUAAAAAAAAUCCAACAAUCCAAAGCCCAAAGGAAAAUCUUAUAAACUGAAGCCCAACAACAAAACCUAAAUAUCAAUAAGCCUAAAAAAAAAAAAAAAAAAAAAAAAGCCUGAGGCCCAAAUGGAAUAAAACUAACAUGAUAUCCAACAACUCAAGCCCAAAAGCAGAGCUGAGCCCAAUCAAAUAUUAGAAUUAAAAUAACAAAGGACAAAGGCCCAAAUGACUGUAAUAAAGCUCAAUUAAUCCAAGGCCACAUAAAAUAAAUCAAAUUCAAAGCCCACAAAUAGCCCACAAUCCACAAACACCGUGUUGUAGAGAUUUUAGAAAAACUUACCCUUGUCUUUCUGAUGAAGCCUUGGGAUGAAAGGAUGAUGGUGGUCAUCCUAAAAUUCAUAUUAAAAAGAGAAAGGAAAAAGAAAAUUUCUUGUUUGGUUACUUUAGGAAAAUAAAAAAGAAGAAUGAUUAAAUUAACCUAUAUGGCUAUAUCUGCAUCAAGUGUGCAGGAAAUUUUCCCCCACUUAAUUGUAGUUCAUCAAACCCUAUAGAUGGGGACAUAAUGUAACCAUGGCUAUACAUUAUUUUUAAUUACAAUUUAAAUCAAAUUGGAAAUUAACUAGAUACAUGUAUAUAUGUGUGACCAAUUGAGUCUUUGACUUACCAGCUAAGCUUUUCCCUUGGAUUGCUUGAGAUUCUGCAUUUAGAUAUCAAUCAAACUUAGGGUAAAGGCAAUAGAUUGUGCAAUUUUCUGCAUUAAAGUUGUUUAAACAAAAGUUUUAAUCUUUCAAAAGCAAUAAAAGGAUCAAAUUGACUUACAAAAUACUAAAAAACAAGCCUUAAUAAAAAUGUACUUGAACAAAAAGAGUUUUAGAUUUCACGCUUGUGGACUUAAAUCUUGCUUCUCUCAAUCAUAAGACAACUAAAAAUUUUAAAAUAUAUACCAUGAUCAACUCAAGAGAAAGGUUUUCCACAAUUUUAUGGUUAACGGAGGUGAAGUAAUUGGAGAAUAUUUGGUUUAAAAUAUGAAAAAAGGGAGAGCUUUAACUUUUACAUACAAGAAUAAGAGCACUCCCUGAAAUAGUCUCAAACUUUUGUUUACCUUGAGAUGAAUCUUCUAGAUAUGAGGAUAAGAGCACUGCCUAAAAUAAUCUCAAACUUUUGUUUACCUUGAGAGGAAUAGUUGGAAAAUUAUUUCAAAUUCCUACUUAAAAUGUACUUCUUAUUGUAAAAGGAAUAUUAUAUAAAAUAUUUCCUUAACUUUAUAUGUGUUUUUAAUUAGAUUCUUUGUAGAAUAAGGAAAACUAGUGAAAAUAUCUCAAUAAAUAUUUUAGAUCAUGAAUGGAAAAAGUUAUCAAAGAGACAUGGUAUACAGAUGUGAGGAAAAGUGAAGGACACUUGAUGGAACUAAAGAACUCAUUAAGGUGUAGAUAUAUGAAAGAGGAAGAAACACCAAAUAGGGCAAGAAGAUUAUUGGUUUAAGGUCGAGAUACAAAGAGACCCAAUAGUUAUAUUUAUUUUUGUAUUUUUUUUCCUUUAAUAUUCUCUAUCAUAUAAUGGAAUGUUCUCUCACAUCCAUUGAUACAGAUAUGAUUGAUUAAACCACGUUAAAACCUUAUGUUUUGUGUGAUUUGUUUUACCUUUAUCUUUCUUUUUUCUAUAAUACAUUUGUAUUAACGUUUCGUUGACACAACAAAAAUAAACAUGAUAAAGAAAUUCUACCCCCAUAUAAAUUAGAAAGAGAAAGGAAGGCGAAAUGAUACCAGUAAAAGAGAUUGGUUUUGGGUUUCUCCGAAUCAUUUUUUAUGGUGUGGCUCCACCCAGGGGCUCUGGUCUAUUGGGUUUCUCUGAAUCAACGUACAUCAUUGGUGGAUGGUUGUGGUCAGUGCCUGGUGCGUUGUCACAAGCAUUGGUAUCUUGACCGCCCAAAUCCCCACAAGAAGAACCGUUCCUUGUACCAUGGUGAGAUGAUUCUAUCCAUAAUCCUCCUGGGCAUAUAUAAAGUGGAAUCCACACCGCUCCACUUUCACUGGUUCAGUACCAAAGUAUUCACUAAAUGAAGUGUUCAAGGUUCUAUACUCAUUUGAGUGGUAUUUUUUCGGAAUUUUUGACUUUGGAUAAUAUAUCAACCACACUUGAUUUGAUUCAUCUCCAUGAAGGCAGCGUUCACAAUUGCGUUUAGACCAGAAAUCAUCCACCAACAAAAAUGCACGGUUGUUGAAAUUCAAUUUACAUUUGAAACUCCUGUUUUCUUCUUCGAUAUCAAGUGGAACAUGAAGAGAGCACAAAGCAAAGCCCAAGAAGUCAUCGUUUUCGUACCAAUACCGAGGAAGUCUCAUUGUUAUUUUGGACCCGUUUUUCUGGUGGCUUAUCCACCCUGGAAUUCCAUUACUUCCAGGAAUAAACAUUUGGACUUUAAAAUUAACUUCGAACUCCUGCACAGAAAGUAGAGUAUAAAUCUUCUGUCUCUAUAAAAACAGAAGGUCAAAUGCUAUUUAUGAAAAUCAUACCUGAAUCCUGGAUUUAAAACAUUUGAAUAAAGAAGACCAGAGUAGAGUUGAGGGACUUGAUAAAAUUUCCAGUGAUGAGCAUUGAUGGGCAUCUAGAUAUUCUAAACUUGAUGGAAGCUCUGGAAUAUGUUGAAGCAUCUGGCAAUGACUCAAGUCGAAAACAAUCAAGUUAUAAAGUUGGUUGAUCCCGUCUGGUAUGCUACUGAACCGGUUCCCUCUGAGGCUUAAAUGUUGCAGUGACGAUAGGUGCCAAAUACCACUGGGGAUUUCCCUUAGACCGCAGUUGAUCAGUUGUAAUGUUAUCAAGGAGCACAAACCCGACAAAGACGGCAAUUGACAAUUCAUUGAAUCCAAAUCUUUAACAUAAAGGUAUUCUAGAGAUUGCAAUCUCCCCAAGUUCUCUGGCAAUUUGUUGAGUUUUGGACAGGAAACGACAAUGAGAGUUCUUAAAGAUGUCAGAUUACAAAUACUUUCCGGAAGAUUCACAAGGUUUUCGCAAUAUGCCAGAUUCAAAUAUUGAAGCCCUCUUAGACGCUGAAUUGAUGAGGGUAUCUCUUUUAUGGCAGUUCCAUCUAAAUCAAGCUUUUGAAAGACUACCAUAUCUUCCAGGAUUUCAGGAAAGCUCUCUAGUUGUGAACAGCCAGAGCAAGAGAGAGUUGUAAGGGAUUUGAACUCACAAAUACUGCUUGGCAGACUCUUGAGGGUUUUACAAUCCCGCAAACAUAAACCAUCAAGCUCCGAGGGAUUCUCUAUAAUGGGUAGCUCCUUCAUGUCACUGUCCUUAAAACAACCACGCCAUCGGCAUGUCGCCUCUUGCUGGCAUUCACUGCACCUUCUAACAUCUGCAUGCGCAUCCUGAGUCUGUGUCGUCGGUGGAAGGUCUUGGGAGUAUAUAAGGCGGACUUUACACUCCUCCACUUUAAAGGCUUUCUUAAAAGUAUUGUAAAAGCCCUCAAAUAAAGGUACAAUGUAAGGCCAUUGAUCAGAGGGAUACCACUCCUGAAUGGCUGCCUUGGAAUACCAAAUCACCCACGUUUGACGUGAUACGCUGUCAUUAUCUUGGUCAUAGCAAAAACAACUAGAUUCAUAUAGGGGAAGAUCCACCAAUGUAAUGUUAUCACCACAGAUUUUCAAAGAACAUUUCAGACGACAAGAGGGCGUAAAUACAUACUCCGACAAUUCAGCCACAGAAUCAUUCUUAGAUUUAUCAUCUAUUUCAUUCUCCGAGGUGUGAGCAGAUUCAUCCUCAGAUCUAUUGUCUGAUUCAUUCUCGGAUACGUCCUCAGAUUCAUCAUCAAGUGGAACAUAAACACAGCACAAAGCAAAUCCCAAAAACUCAUUAUUUUGGUUCCAAUUCUGAGGAAGCUCUGUCGCUAUACCCUGAUCAUCCAUUAUCCACUCUGGAACUCCACUACUUCCAGGAAGAACAAUACAAAUUCCCUUGCUGCCGUAGGUAGAAACACUAUUCUCGGACCAUACUUCAUUCCGACUACUGCAAUUCAAAUCCUGCACAAAAGCACCAUGUAAAUCAAAUGUGCAUAAAAAAAAGUAAAGUCAGUGACAUGAAAAUCAUAGAUACCUGAAUUUCCGAAUUGAAGCAAUUGACCAGAGAAUGAACUGGCAAAAAUGAGGCUCUUGAUGAAGUAGGAUUUGAACCAUGCGCAUCUAAAAGCCUUAGACUCGAUGGAAGCUCUGGAAUGUGUUGAAGAUUCUGGCAGUGACUUAAGUUAAGGACUUGCAGCCUAGAAAGUUGAUUGAUGGUAGCAGGAAUGCUUCUAAAAUCAUUCGAUUUCAGAUUUAGUUCUUUCAGUGAUGAUAAAUGACAAAUAUCACUGGGAAUUCCUCCUUCCAUUAUAUUGCAGUGACUUAGAUCCAAUACUUCCAAUGAUGAUAGGCAACAAAUAUCAAUAGGGAUUUUGUUGAGUUUUGAACUCAUUCUAAAACUGAGAAUUUCAAGAGCUUUUAGAUGUUCAAACAAUGAUGAUGGUAGCACUUUUAUAGCUGUUCCACUUAAA
rnacentral:lncRNA from 1 species